rnacentral:lncRNA from 1 species
GGAAUUCUUGCAUUUGCAGUAAGGAUUUGGGAGUAUGAAAAGAGACUCAUUGAAGUUAUGUUCAAUUGAUCUAGUUCACAAAGUAAAGAUCAUAGACAAACAUAGUAUGCAUACUUUGUGUGUGGCAUGACUAGUGUUUAGGAAAAACAUAGUGUACAUGCUUGGAGCAUGGGACAACUAUUGUGUUAAAUUCAAGAAUAAAGUUGAUAGCUGAAACAGUAUACAAUGAAUAAUGUGUAAUCAUAUGGUGAUAAAUAAAAGGUGUUUUAUUUAUGUUCAAAGUGUUGAUACCAUAUUGGAUUCAAUUAUUAUUGUGUUUCAUUUUGCAUGUUUUGACUUCCCGAAUAAACUGGGUUAUUCUUCCGGAAUGACUAAGUUAUUCAAACCAUCCACAGUCGGUCAUAUGUUGGAAGUAGAUAUGAAUUAAGACUGUCAUGAUGGGUUGUAGAGGUCUAAGGUGUUGGACAAGGCUACAACAAUCAUGAGUGCUCAUAAGUUCUGAGUAUUGGAUUCAACCCGCGCUCAUUGGAAUCACUUCAUGGAUUUUAUCACGAGUGAUCAUGAGACGAUAAUAUCUUAUAUUCUUCAAACCUAGAGAUAUGAGUUGUUACUAUGAGUUGAUAGUACAUUGAUUGCACGAAACCGCAUUUGGUAACUCUGUGCUAUAAAACGUGCCUUUGUGUAUGAUUCAACAAGUAGUAGAACAAGCCAUAUGAGUCGAAGUUUAUCCGUUCCUUUUACCUUCGGGAUAAAAGCGAUAUCUGUGGGCCCCUCGAUGAUUUGAUGAUGACAAAUGGAAGUGCUCGGCCGGGCCAGGACUGAUUUGAUUUGUUCAAUUAGUCAGUCGUCAUAAAUCGGAAAUCGGGAAACAACAAAUGGACAGAGAGAAUGAUUAUAAUCCAUGUCUCAGUCCAUAUGAUAUCUAGAAUGGAGGAAUAUAUGAUCCCUUAUCUAAUGGACAAGUCAUUGACAAAGGUCAGAGUUCAUCUACAAGGUCAGAGUUCGACAGAAGCUUUUGAGAGCUACGAUUGCCNNNNNNNNNNNNNNNNNNNNNNNNNNNNNNNNNNNNNNNNNNNNNNNNNAAUGAGAGAAAUAAGACACUUAUGGUUAUUAAUAUAUUAUAAGUUCUAGUAUAUUAAUAAUAAGAAUAAUAAGAUUAUUUAAUUAGUAUUGAUCAAGAAUUAAUCUAGGAUUAAUUAAGUGAUCAAAAGAAGACUAAUUAAAUAUAUGGGUUGAUUGUGUUAAUCAUCCAUACUUGUAUAGUGGGCUAAUGCUCCAUGGAUAAUCAAGUUGGGCUAAAACCCAUAGGAUGGUCCAUGGAUGCUCCAUGGGGUAUUUGUAACCAUGGNCCCUAAUUGUAACACUAUAUAAAGAUAUUAUUCUUGCCAAAAUCGGCCACUAGUAUUAUUCUAGAGAGGGCUAGCCGAUUUCAUGAGUUGUAAGAAUUCUCUCAAGUUAUUCUAAGUGUUUUGAUGAUUGUGAUUCCAUUUGAGGUGUCACACUUGGGGCACUAGGCACUCAAGCUUCAUGAAGACUUUCUACAUCAAAGAGGUAUGUAUUCUAUCUUGCUAUAGUUAUUGUUUUGUAUGCUAGAUUAGGAUAAUACCUUGGAAGUUCUUAUUUGCAUGUAUAAUAGAGAAAUCAUAGAUCCAAGGUAUUUAGGGUUGCAUGUACACUUAGGAGUGUUAGAAUGCUCAAAACCCAACAGGAAGAACAUACAAUACAGCUAGCACAUACAUUACAUAUACAUUACAUUCAGUUAUGUGAGCCAUUAAACGGGUCAUGGCACUACCUGCCAUGACCGUUUUUGUAUCCAGAAUCUCCUUAAUUGGGCAGCGUAUGAGUUUGUGUAUAGAUCUAUACUGGAUUGACUAUCCUACACCUUGUUGCUCACUACAGUGGGACUUGCAAGUCUACGGGUGCAAAAUGUCAUUUCUUACGGUGUCUUACAUCGUUGUUUUACUAUUGAGUCAGUAGCAGGGUAUAGGCCGAUUACAUUAUACUUUAAAUAACAAUUGGUUUAAGGUAGUUAGUACAACAGUAGUUACUUAAUACAACACUACAGUACUAUAAUAUCUAUCCCAUUACAUUCACUUCGUGAACAUUCACACAAUGCACGGUAAUGUAAAAACUAUAUUUUUGGUUAACGAUAGUCGGAUUUGGGAAAAUACACACUCUUACAAGAGACACACACACAGUUACUAGAUGCCAUGGUAGAAGGCUACUCUUAGUAGGAAACAUAGGGUUUUCUAGGAUAGUUUAAACAUACACAAACUUUACAAAACAUAUACAUUACAACUUACAAACAUCUUACAAAUGCUUUUAUACAAACUAAGACACUAAUAUACUUAUGAUCUCACCAGCUUUAAAUCUAAUACUCGCUUUCAAAAUAACUUGUAUUCUCAGGUCACCACUAGACAUGUACAGGUGCCAGGCUUUUGAGAAGAUGGAGUUCGUUCGAGACUCAUCUUUUAUUUUGAUAUAUAUAUAUUUUUGGUGUCUAUGACUUUGACAGAACACACAUGUAUGAACUUAUAUUAUUAAUACAAUGGAUGAUGUUGUUGCUUAUUUACUACAAUUCAUUGUUGUGAUACUAUACAUGACAUCCUCCGCCCCAGAAUGUUUCUGCCAUUCAUGGUUUUGGGGUGUGACACAUACUUAAAUGUUUCCACAUUUCUUUGGGAUUUAAGGUGAAUUUUCUCAAGUCAAGAUUAUUUGGAAUUGACCUAUCCUCCCAAGAAAUCAGGAGUAUGGCGAACGUGCUAGGCUUUAUCGAAGGCUCAUUCCCACUUACCUAUUUGGGUGUACCUGUAGGGGCAAACAUGGCACUAAAGAAAAAUUGGCAGCCCAUUAUUAACAAAUUUUGAUCUAAACUAUCAACCUAGAAAGCAAAAGCUUUAUCAUUCGGUGGUCGUCUCACUUUAAUAAAAUUUGUCUUAUCUAGUCUCCUGAUAUAUUAUAUGUCAUUGUUCAAAGGACCAUAGGUUGUUAUCGAUAUCCUCGAAAAAAUAAGACGAAAGUUCCUAUGGAGUGGAGAUGAUGUCAAGUCAAAGAUUCAUUGGGUGGACUGGGCCAAAGUAACAACAGCUAAAAAUGAUGGAGUUCUACGAGUCGGAAUAUUAAUAGCCCAAAAUAUAACCUUAAUUACUAAGUGGUGGUGGAGGGUAAUGAACGAGGGAGGCAAUCUAUGGAGGAAUGCAAUAGUAACCAUCCAUAAUCUCAAAAAAAAAAAACCCUUAUAUUGCAAGGAAAGCAUCCCAAUGGUGUUUGGCGUAACAUUCAUAAGGAAAUCAAUUAUAUUCAUAAGCUUAACCUUGAUUUCAAUAAGCUAUUCAAGCUCAUUCCAGGAUGUAGGACGAAUAUCCUUUUUUGGAAGGCUACAUGGUACGGAAGCUCCACAUUUCAGGUACAGUUCCCGACUGUAUACAAACUAGAAACGGUCAAAUGUUGUAAUCUAGAGGAACGUUUUUCUACAUCUGGAUUUACAUGGAGAUGGAAACAGGAUCCGAAUGAUCCUACAUCAUUAAAUGAGUAGUUGCAGCUCUACUCUUCUAAUGGUUCAAUGGAUGUACCGGCUCAAUCCCAAAUUGGUUUUUUCUUCAUGUUAAAUCCAGAUGAAAGGUACUCCGUAAACAAACUGAGGAGAAUCAUCGAUUCUAAACUCAUUCCAUUCAAAUGCAUUGUUAUUCCAUGGCUCAAAAUGGUUCCAUUAAAGGUUCGUUGUUUUGUUUGGCAGGCUUCGUUAUCCAGAAUUCAAGUUGUUAUGGAGUUAUCGAAAAGAGGAAUAAGGUGUUGGGUUUUGAGCAUUCUAACACUCCUAUGGUGUACAUGCAACCCUAUAAACCUUGGAUCUAUUUUUUCUCUAUCAUACAUGAAAAUAUUAACUUUCCAAGGUAUUACCUAUAACUAGCAUACAAUUAUCAUAUAUAACAAAAGAAUCUAGUUAGGAUAACAUACCUUAUUGUAGAGCUUGAAGUAUUGAUGUAUCUAGCCUUAAGAGCUUAGCCCUAAUAGCGUGGAAGCCUCAAGUGGAAUCACAACACAUCAUGAACAAAGGAUAAAAUUGAGAGAGAAUCUCCAUGUACCCAAAAGUCAGCAUGAACUCCAAGAAUCACUAGUAGCAAUUUUGGGCAAUGAAGUAUGUAUUUAUAUGUGGGAUUUCUAGGGUCAUGGUGUCACACCCCGCUAAAUCGGAAACACGAGGCGUGGCAGUAUAAAGGGUUUCAGAGCAAAAGUUAAUAGACAACACCAACCAUGGUAUUAAAAAUCAUUACAAUUUUACAAUGGGUUUAAACAACUUUUAAAAGAAAUUACAAUAUAAAUUGAAAUACAACACAUGCGAAUGCUCCUAAAAGUGAAGUGUCCCUAAGUGCCACUCACUCGUGAUUCUUGAAAAAGCAUGUAAAACGAGCGUCAACUAUAAAAAUUGUUGGUAAGUACUCACGAGUUUAAAAAUAAUAUUGGUUUCAUGAAUCGAAAUCAAAAUUUUGAUAUAAGUUUCCAUAGAUGGCAUGCUUUGUAUUGCUUACCAUAUUCACAUGCAGGACAGAGAGUGUCAUUGUUGAACUUGAGAAUAAGGAGUCCUCUGACCAGCUCUCCAGUUACCAAAGUUUUGAUGUAUCUGAAGUUGAGAUGAGCGAGCUUGCGGUGCCAUAGCCACUUGACUUUGGAUACAGGUUUUGAAAGAAGACAUAACUGCGGCUUGCCAAUGAUCAGAGAGACAUCUAGAGGAUACAUGGUACCUUCAGAUCAUGAACUAAUCAAGCAGGUGCUCCUAUCACUUGUCAUCACACAACAAAUUUAUCAUCAAAUUCAACUCGAUGGCCUGCCUUACAUAGUUGGCCAACACUAAUGAAAUUGUGUUUAAGGCUUUCUACAUAAGCGACCUUUUGAAUUGUGAAGUUCCACGUAGUGAGUACACCGUAACCUCAGAUGAUUCCGUUCACAUUGUUGCCGAAAGUAACAAUUCCAUCGUUGCAAAUUGGCCUGAAAUCUCGAAGGUAUUCUAACCUUCCGGACAUGUGCAAGGAGCAGGCACUGUCAAUUAACCAUUCAUCUUCUUGUUCCUCCUUGCACAAAGCCUAAAAAUUACACGAUUAGUUUAGGCAUCCAAACUAGUUUAGAGCCUGGAACAAUAGAUGAGUUUCUGAGUGAUGCAUGGACCGAAGUUGCAGGGACUGGUUUCGUUUCACCUUUUAAACCUAGUCUUGGAUGUUUGUGUAGUUUUGGAGUGAUGUUUUUUUUGCAAGGUUACGAGAUUUUUGAUUUUGGCAACUACACUGACAUUCACAGGUUGAGAUUUUGUCUUUUGUUCUGACACCACGUUUGGUCAGCGGUCUAAAGGAUGAGUUGUUUGGCUUUUGACUAGUCCGAGGUUGAAAAGAUCUGACAUGAGUGUUGUAUGUUUUCUAUAAAGUUUUUUUUCGAAAAAGUUUGUUUUGGAAAAGGUCUGACAUGAGUGUUUUAUGUUUUCUAAAAAGUUUGUUUUGAAAAAGGUUCAGUACGUGUAACGCCCGUAGAUCCGGGCUAGUCAAUUUAGAGACGAUAAGCAUCAAAAAUGACUUUUUUAUGGAAUAUUAUUUAGAAGGAUUAAUCUUAACCAAGUUGUAGUAUAUGUCACAAGGUUUCCGUGCAUAUAAAGAACGCCAAAAUCCGAGUUAUAACGAAGAAGUUAUGACCUGUCGAAGUUUCGCGACAGAACCGGCAUGACCCAGCGCGACCCAGCGCAACGUAUAUAGUGAAUUUAAGGUAGAUAGAUAUCUAUCCUUAGUGAUCUAAUGAGAAUUGAAGAUCUCAUCGAUAGUAGUCCAACGAUAAAAAGACAGACGAAAACGGAGUUCAGAUGAAGGAGUUAUGAGUUUAUAACGGAGUUUUCCUGUCCCGGCUUACUAAAGAUAAUAUAUAAGUAAUAUACUUAUAAUAUAUUAAAAAUAAACUCAAAAUUAUCCAAUGGAGUCUAAACGAGAGUUGUAGAGGAUAAUCUCACCUUCGCGUCAAUAUAAAGAACGUCGAAAACGGAGUUCGUAUGCGAAAGUUAUGAAUUUCUGAAGUUCGGGGCGCGAAACCCCAAAACUGUCAGAGACCACGACGUGGCAAGCAGUGCCACGACGUGGAAAGUCUCCUGAAAGCUCCGGGAGUCCCCCAGAUCAAGCCCACGACGUGGCAAAAGGAUCCCACGACGUGGCAAGGGCCAAAGUUUCCCUAUAAAUAGAUUUGAAGGGCCAACCGACUAUGGUUGCUCCAUCCCUUCUCUCCCACUCCCAAUACACCCUCUAAGCCCUAUUUUAACCCCCCAAAGCCCCGAUAUCAACCCCGAGACCCGAAGCAAGUCCUGAAGCACCGAAGAUCCCUAAAAGAAAAGAGUUUCCGAGCCGAAGCUCUGCCCGCAAGAAACCCGGUGUGUGAAGUGAUCCCGGUUUCACUGAAGAAUACUAUUUCUACAAGCCGUAGUGCUGUCCGAUCAUCUCUGAUCAAGUGAGUGUAUACUACCUUUUAUAAACACGAUUAUAAUAUAAGUAUUGUUUGAAUGUAUUAAGUAUAUGUUUGGUGUGAGUGUAUAGUCACUUUCGUCUUACACAUAGAUAUGAAGUAUUUUAUAAAAUACGUGCUAUGUGUAUAUAUAUAGUUGUUUAUAUGUGUGAGUGUGUGGUCACUUUCUUCUAACACAUAAAUAUUAAGUAUUUGCUAUGAAAUAUGUGCUAUGUGUUUAUAUAUUGUUGUUUAUUUGAGAUGUUGGUGGAAUACAUGAACUAUAUAGGUUUUAAUGAGUUAAACUGUAUAUUUAUUUUGUAACUACAAAUAUGUUGGGUAGGACAUGGGUAGAUGAGAUCCGUGANNNNNNNNNNNNNNNNNNNNNNNNNNNNNNNNNNNNNNNNNNNNNNNNNNNNNNNNNNNNNNNNNNNNNNNNNNNNNNNNNNNNNNNNNNNNNNNNNNNNNNNNNNNNNNNNNNNNNNNNNNNNNNNNNNNNNNNNNNNNNNNNNNNNNNNNNNNNNNNNNNNNNNNNNNNNNNNNNNNNNNNNNNNNNNNNNNNNNNNNNNNNNNNNNNNNNNNNNNNNNNNNNNNNNNNNNNNNNNNNNNNNNNNNNNNNNNNNNNNNNNNNNNNNNNNNNNNNNNNNNNNNNNNNNNNNNNNNNNNNNNNNNNNNNNNNNNNNNNNNNNNNNNNNNNNNNNNNNNNNNNNNNNNNNNNNNNNNNNNNNNNNNNNNNNNNNNNNNNNNNNNNNNNNNNNNNNNNNNNNNNNNNNNNNNNNNNNNNNNNNNNNNNNNNNNNNNNNNNNNNNNNNNNNNNNNNNNNNNNNNNNNNNNNNNNNNNNNNNNNNNNNNNNNNNNNNNNNNNNNNNNNNNNNNNNNNNNNNNNNNNNNNNNNNNNNNNNNNNNNNNNNNNNNNNNNNNNNNNNNNNNNNNNNNNNNNNNNNNNNNNNNNNNNNNNNNNNNNNNNNNNNNNNNNNNNNNNNNNNNNNNNNNNNNNNNNNNNNNNNNNNNNNNNNNNNNNNNNNNNNNNNNNNNNNNNNNNNNNNNNNNNNNNNNNNNNNNNNNNNNNNNNNNNNNNNNNNNNNNNNNNNNNNNNNNNNNNNNNNNNNNNNNNNNNNNNNNNNNNNNNNNNNNNNNNNNNNNNNNNNNNNNNNNNNNNNNNNNNNNNNNNNNNNNNNNNNNNNNNNNNNNNNNNNNNNNNNNNNNNNNNNNNNNNNNNNNNNNNNNNNNNNNNNNNNNNNNNNNNNNNNNNNNNNNNNNNNNNNNNNNNNNNNNNNNNNNNNNNNNNNNNNNNNNNNNNNNNNNNNNNNNNNNNNNNNNNNNNNNNNNNNNNNNNNNNNNNNNNNNNNNNNNNNNNNNNNNNNNNNNNNNNNNNNNNNNNNNNNNNNNNNNNNNNNNNNNNNNNNNNNNNNNNNNNNNNNNNNNNNNNNNNNNNNNNNNNNNNNNNNNNNNNNNNNNNNNNNNNNNNNNNNNNNNNNNNNNNNNNNNNNNNNNNNNNNNNNNNNNNNNNNNNNNNNNNNNNNNNNNNNNNNNNNNNNNNNNNNNNNNNNNNNNNNNNNNNNNNNNNNNNNNNNNNNNNNNNNNNNNNNNNNNNNNNNNNNNNNNNNNNNNNNNNNNNNNNNNNNNNNNNNNNNNNNNNNNNNNNNNNNNNNNNNNNNNNNNNNNNNNNNNNNNNNNNNNNNNNNNNNNNNNNNNNNNNNNNNNNNNNNNNNNNNNNNNNNNNNNNNNNNNNNNNNNNNNNNNNNNNNNNNNNNNNNNNNNNNNNNNNNNNNNNNNNNNNNNNNNNNNNNNNNNNNNNNNNNNNNNNNNNNNNNNNNNNNNNNNNNNNNNNNNNNNNNNNNNNNAACAUUGUGGAAUGAAAACCCUAUAUGCUCACCAGGCUCCCGAGCCUGACCCACUCAGUUUUCUUUGUAUCAUAGGUAUCGAUACGAAGAUAUAUUUCACGGAGAGAUCAAAGGAGAUGUAAAAUCUUUAUUGUAAAUAAUGUAAGUUCUGUUUAUGCUUAUGUGUCUGUAUCGGAACAUGACAUCCCGAGAUUUUGUUAUAUAAUAAAAAUACAUUUCUUUAAUGAAAUGAUUUGAUAAAUCUUUAUCAUAUUUUGGGAAGAAAUUCCGCAACUGUUUUCUUUAAAAGAUUACUCUGAUUUUAAAAACAAGCAUAAACAAAUUGGUCUUUUCUGGCCGUGAAAUUAGGGAUGUCACAGUACGUGUAGAUCUUUGUGUCUUUUUUGUUGGAUUUGGUAGAAUAUCCAUCCUUUUGUUAAGAUUUUGAUGUGACUUGAAAUGUGUUGGAAUGGGUAAAAUACCUUUCCAUUUCGGAUCAUCUGAGGAAUAGAUUUGAAAAACAUUGUUUUGAAAAUACUUUACACCUUUUUGAGUUGUGUCAGAUGAAUUUGGAAUGAUUGUUGAAACUGUACAUUCCUUUUUGGGUGUUUUCUUCAUGGUAGAGUUUUUUGCAAAACUGUGAGAAAAAAUAAAUUUUUCUGGACUUUUAGAUUUUUCAGAUCUGACAUGCCUUUUGUUUUUUGAAAAUAUUUGUCUAUUUGUGCCUUGGGAGCGAAUUUCCUCUUUGAAAGCCUUUUUAGGUAAGGUUUUUGGGGUACCGUAGUCUCUGUUAUUCAACUGCGGUUGCCUAGAACUCUUUGAAAUUUUGUGAAAACAUGGGCUUGAGUCAUCAGAACUUGAAGAUUUAGGGAUUUGAGAACAUUGACCUACUUCAAAAUUUUUUGUGGGUAAUUCAUGAUGAACUGUUUGAAGAGUGACAAAACCUUUGUUCAAAGACUGCAGUAGGGAUGACUUGACUACCGCAGAGUAAGUCUUAGUUUGGACUUCAGUGGGACUUUUGUGGGACUUUUGACUACAGUGUGGGACACUACGGUCCGAGGAUAGAGAUGGAAAGUCUUUCGAGACUUCAGUGUCCUCAAUGACAAUUUCUUCAACAACUUUGGAUGAUUUUUGAGAAUCUGGGAAAGUAGUGCCACAGAUAGGAAUUUGAUCAUUUGUGUGACCCGAAACUUCAGGCAUAAUUUCCUUAAUGACACAAUUGUUGCUUAGAUUACGCAGCCUACCGAAGCGAGUUUUGAUAUCUUCGGGAAAGGUCUUGUCAUUGACUGGGAAAUAAAAUUCUCGGUCUGGAGGGACAUACAAUCUGUCUUUGUUGAACCGGGGUGAGGAAUCCACUGCGGUAGGAUAUCCAUUUGAGCAACCAUAAUUGUAUGUGUUGUCCACGGUUCCAUUAUUUACCAAAUUUUCAAUAGCCUCACUUUCAUUGAACAAUUUUUCGAUUAAAAGAUUUAAGCGUACAAUUUCGCUCUGAGCUAAAUCUAUUUUGUUCAAAGCAAUCUCUAAUUGGGUUUCAAUCAACAUUCUUGCAUUUUUUUCUAAUUUUAAGUCACUUUCUAACAUAGCCAUUUGAGUCUUUUGUUGUCCAGUCGUCCUCUCACAUGGAAUGUUCUUCUCAUCUAAGGCUUUGUUAUAGUCUAUAAGGACGGCAGCACAUGUGUCAUUAAGAUUAUCUAUGUAAGGUUGAAAAUCAUGCAUGCUAUAGUUUAGAGUUUGGAACAUGAGUUUUACAUGUUCGACGGUGCUUAGAGUUCCAUCCUUUGCCAUGUAGCAGUAGUUUUUGUUCAGCUUUGUAGAUCCAUCAUCAUCAGCAGUUGCUAACAUGCAGAUUUUCCCUUUUCCUUUGAGACUGUUGAUGGCUUCAUCUUCAUCUCCGGAUGACCAAACUUGAUGGUCUCUUUUGACAUGGGCUACGAAUGCCCUUGCUUUCUCCUUUUCUUCCAACUCUUGAGCCAUUCUAAGGUAUAAUGCUCUAUCUUUAACUACAUUGUCCUUACAAUCUCUUGCAAAGUGAUUCUCUUUGUUGCAUUUGUGGUAAACUACAACAUCAGUCUUAUCUUCUGAGGGAGUAUCGGAGUUAGUGGUUUGAGUAGACUGCGGAGUUUCCUUUGGUUGAGAAUUUUGAGAUUGCGGUGGUGGAUGAGAACUUUUAGGAUAAUGAGAGUGAUUGUUUUGUGGAUUGAGGCUACGAUUGAAGGGUGGUUUGUUAAAUUGUUGAUUUUUGCGAAAAGAAUGAGGUGGUAGUCGGUUGAAUUGUUUGCUGACGAGAGCAAUUUCCUUUUGAAAUUCUUCUUCAUCAUCAUACUCUGAAUCAACUUCGUAUGAUUGCAGUGAAGUUUCAUACGAGGGAGAGUAAGAUUGAUUAUGUGAAGUUUGUGCUAUGAGAGCAGGAGGUCCUCCGAUGUCAGCACAGUCUUUGAGUACUGUGGAUUCUUGUGCUUGCAGUUCCCCAUAAAGUUUGUAGAGUGACAAGGAAUGAAUAUUUCUAUCACCUUGAAAUAUCAUCUUUGCAGUAGUCUAAUGUGUUCCCAAGACAUUAAGAAACUGAACAUUUGUUUCAUGGUUACUGCGGAUGGUGCCCGCAUUGGAUAACUUGGUGACAAUCAGGUUGAACCUUUUGAAGGAGUCUUCCAAACUUUCGCCAGUAUGAGCUUUGAAAUUGUUGAACUCAUUGAGUGCGGUUGUAAGCUUCUUGUCUUGUGCUUGUUCUGAGCCUUCGUACAGAUUUUUUAGAACAUCCUAGAUCUCUUUUGUUGAUUUGCAAUUUAUGAUAAUAUCGAAGUUGUCAGGAGCAACUCCACAGGAGAUUUCAUAAAAAGCAACAACAUCAUUUUCCAUUUUAUCGAGAUCAUUUUUGGUGGGACGGUUCAUAGCUGGUUGACCUCCUCCUAGUCUUAUUGUGGCUCCGUCUGUUUGAACCGGUGUAAGGACAGGUAUAUGUGGUCCUUCUUCUACAGAUCAUCAUACGUCUCUACCAAGUCUCCUUCAGUAUCUCUCCAUUCUUUGUGACCAGUGAUGAUAUUCAUUUGCAACCAGUAUUGGGGCUCGAUUAGAACCACCAACAUUGUUGGAAACAUUCAGAGAUAACGAUUGUGCCAUAUUUUUGAAGUUUUUUUGUUUGAGAAAUGAGCUUAGUGGUAUAGAAAGCUCUUCGAAAAAUCAGAGUUCCGAUUUUCAAAAAGCAACCACUGUGGCUCUGAUACCAAUUGUUGAGAGAAAAACUUUGAGACACACUUGAACAAACGUUAGAACAAGUAUACUGCGGAAUAGUUAAUGUCAAAGGAUCUAAAGCUCAACAAUAGUAUUUACAGUUAUAUGGUUAGAUAGUUAGUGCGGAAAUGUAAGGAAAUGAAAUGACAACAAUUGUUAUAUCAAGUAUACACUUAAGCCGAUUCAUAAUGAGGAAUGCAUUCAAACCAAGUUAAUAAGUGAGAUCAAUAAUAGCGAUUAAGUCUCUAAAGACUUGCUCCGAAGAGAGAUUGUAAUCAAUUAUGAAAGUAAUAAGAGUGAGUAAGAGAGAUAGAAAAGAUAACUUCAGAGAUUGCAAUUCAGAAUAGAUGUGUAGUUGAAUACAGGAGAAUGAGCUCUAUUUAUAGAGACUCAUGAAGUACACUAGAUUACAUCUCUAAGAGUAUCCAUGCAAGGCAUACUCGACAAUAGAGAGUAUUGCAAAAAGACAAAUAAGGUAAUUUAGUAAAGAGGCUGUGGUAGAUUGAGACUGCGGUAGCGGUUGCUGAUGAAGAAGCUUGAUUGCGGGGGCAUGAUGACUACGGUAGCUAAAGUUCAAGAGGGUCACUUUUUAUGAUUCAAUAGAAUGGAGCUCGGUCAAUACUAGCGUGAUAACUAUUAUUAUACGAAAACUCUGCCAGUGGGGGGUAUGUGUCCCAACAUCCUCCAAAAUCCAGCACGCAUGCACGGAGCAUGUCUUCCAAUGUCUAGAUUGUCCUUUCACUCUGACCGUCAGUCUGAGGGUGAUAUGCCAUACUGAAAUGUAGUUGGGUGCCCAAUUCCUCAUGGAAAUUCUUCUAAAACCUAGAGGUAAAUUGAACAUCCAUGUCGGAGACCACAGACACGGGCACCCCGUGUCUAGCCACCACUUCACGAACAUAAAUUUUUGCCUAAUUUUCCGUAGAUAUACUCUCAGAAAUUGGAAUGAAAUGGGCACUCUUUGACAGUCUGUCCACGAUAACCAUAUGGCAUCCACGUCCUUUGCCGUCCUCGAAAGAUUUGUAAUGAAGUCCAUAGUGAUCUCCUCCCACUUCCACAAUGGAAUGGGUAGUGGCUGAACCUUGCCAUGAGAUCGCUGAUGCUCGGCCUUGACCUUCCUGCGGGUCAAGCACCACUCCACAAACCAGGAAAUCUCUCGCUUCAUGCACGGCCACCAAUAACUCAGUCUCAAGUCCCUAUAAAUUUUUUUAGCUCCCGGGUGAAUAGAGAACUUGGACUUGUGCGCCUCCUCUAAUAACUUCUACCUCACUCCCCCUGCCAUUGGUACCCACACUCGGCCAUACUAAGUCAAAAGACCGUGGCUAUCCUUGACAAAAAAAAGUAUAGUGUCCCCAAAUUUUCUCUGUUUUCUAGUUUUCCCUCAUCACCCCCUUAACCUGAGCCCCCUUGAUCACAUCUAACAAAGGAGAAAUCACAGUCAUCCUCAUACAAGUGUUCCUAAUCGGGGACCCCACCGUCUUGUGGCUCAAAGCAUCGGCCACCACGUUGGCCUUCCCUGGAUGGUAUAAGAUCUCGUAGUCAUAAUCCUUCAAAACAUCCAACCAUCUCCUAUGCUGCAUAUUGAGGUUCUGCUGAUCCAUCAAAUACUUAAGAUUCUUGUGAGCCGUAUAAAUUGUGAACCACACACCAUACAAAUAGUGCCUCCAUAUCUUGAGGAAAAACACUACCGCCCCCAACUCCAAGUUAUGCGUGGGGUAAUUCGCCUCAUGAGGCUUCAACUACCUCAAGGCAUAAGAAAUCACAUGCCUCCUCUGCAUCAAUACCGUAUCCACCCCUAAAAUCGAUGCAUUACAGUACACCACUAAAUCAUCCAACCCCUCAGGUAGUACUAGAAUCGGAGCCUCACAUAACCUCCAUCUCGGGAUCGCAAAUGCCAUCUAUUGAUCCUCGGCCCACCGAAAGGUCACAUUCUUCUUGGUCAAGUGGGUCAAUGGCACAACGAUCUUGGAGAAAUCCUGGAUGAAUCUCCGAUAGGGCCCGCUAAACCCACGAAACUACGAAUUUCUCAGGCAUUCCUUGGUACCUCCCAUCGCAUCACCGCCUCCACCUUGGCUGGGUUAACCGAAAUUCCCUCUUGAUUGAUGACAUGCCCCAAAAAUUGUACUUCCCGUAGCCAGAAAUCACAUUUGGAGAAUGUUGCAUAAAGUUUCUCCGCCGUCAGGGUCUCUAAUACCUCCCCCAAAUGCUACUCAUGCUACUCCCUGGUCUUAGAGUACUCCAUGAUAUCAUCAAUAAAAACGAUCACUGACCGAUCCCGUGUAACACCCGGAUUCCCACGUAUAUUAUUUAUUCUUUUUUUUUUUUGGAGAUUAGGAGGGGACUCGGCGAGUUGGUGUUCAGACUCGUCGAGUAUGAUCGCGGAUUCGUAUCUGGGUUCACAGGUAGACUCGACGAGUUCAUGAGUGGACUCGGCGAGUCCAUGUUGUUUAAUGAAAUCCUAAUUUCCUGGGUUUAGGACCUAUUUAAAGGCCCUUAGGGCCGUCAUUUGCGGCUACCAAACCCCAAAGAGAAACCCUAAGAGAUCUAGAGUGAUUGUGAGGAAGGAAAGGCCAUUCUUGAUCAUUUUAUUGGUGCAAUUGCAAGAAAGAGGUGACCAAGGCAAGAGGAGGUUGAAGGAGGUGCGAUUCUGGUGAUUUCAGAGUUCAUAGACUUCAUCUUGAGGUAUUUAUUCAGACCUUCUUCAGAUUGGUGUUGAUUCUUAGAGUUUGGGUUUUCUAACCCCCUUUAGAGGAUGGAUAUGUGGAGCAAUUGGUCCCCUCUCGAGUUUGUGCUUUGGAUCUGGACUCAAAGAGGUCCAGAGACCUUAACCCUUGGAGCUUUAUGAGCUAUUUUGGGAGCCAUGAACUUAGGAUGUUGUUUAUGGGACUAAAUCACCAAGUGAGACCAUCUAGAUGUUAUAUGUGUGUCAAGGUCUGAACUUUACUUGAUUAGCAUGCUUGGGAAGGUCAGAUUUAUGGAUUAAAGGAACAGAUCUGACCUCAGGAGGUCUAUGGAGUUUAUGCAUGGCAAGAACUCGCCGAGUCCAAAGAUCAGACUCGGCGGGUAGGGUUAGGGUUUCCCGUAAAUCACUUAGUGAGUAGACUUGCCGAGUUGGGGAAAUAACUCAGUGAGUCAAAGGGGGAAUAGUGAUGGGCUUUGAGCAUUCUAACACUUCCUAAGUGUACAUGCAACCCUAAUAACCUUGGAUCUAUGUUUUUCUAAUGAUCAUGCAAAGUUGUUUUCCAAGGUUAUGAACCUGUCUAGCAUACAUGGGGUACAAUUUUCUUUGUAUAAUAGAUAGAACUACAUACCUUGUUGUUGAAUGUGUUCCUUGAAACCUUGUGAGCCUAGCACCUCAAGUGUGAUGCCUCAAAUGAUUCACACAACACCAAAUGCAAAGAAGAAACUUGAGAGAAUACUCUAACACAUGCAAAAUCGGCCAAGCCCUCUUAUUUCUUAGUGUAGCCGAUUUUGGGGAGAGUUACAUUGCUUAUAUAGUGUGUUGCAUUAGGUAAGCCCUAAUGUUCCAUGACUCUUCAUUUCUUGAUCCAUGGGUUAACUCCAAGGAGCAUCCUAUGGGUGGAACCCAACUUGAUAAUCCAUGAAGCCUCUUAGCCCACUAUAUAAGAUAUGGAAGAUUUACAUAAUCUACCCGUAUAUCUAAUUAGUUAUCUUUUGAUCACUUAAUUAAUUCUAAAUUAAUUCUUGAUCAAAACUAAUUAAAUAAUAUUAUUAAUAUAUUAGAACUUAUAAUAUAUUAAUAAAUCUUAUGUGUUAUUUCUCUCAUUUAGUUUAUCCAAUUGCAUGGUGCCAUGCAACCCAAAUGGACCAUGUCGGGUCGGGUCAAAUACUUACCACAAAUAGUUAUGGACUUAGACACCUUAUCCAACAAUAAGGGGACUGGAGUUCAAGGCGGAACUCACCGAGUUGUUCUUGAGACUCGGCGAGUUGAGUCGGGGUGGCCCCGCGAUUCAUGCCAGGUGUGACUCAUCGAGCAAGGGGAGGAACUUGACGUGCCAAGCGGGACUAAAGAGUUAGUGGACACGUGUAGACUCGCCGAGUCGCCCUAGUGCACUCGAUGAGUCGGGUCAAAGUUUGACCAUUUACCUUUGUUGACUUUUAGGGUUUGGUCAACAAUGUGGCCUUUGAGCUAAAAGAGGGGUAAAAUGGUCUUUUGUUUGCUGAGGGUGCCUAGAGAGGGUUGAGUCUAGUCUCGAGAGUUAUAUUUAUGAGAGUAUUUACUUAUUCUGAUUAGGUGAAGGCUAGAUCAUAUUCUUACCGAGUCAGAGAUUUACCGAGACAUCUGAGCUGAGUCUUCUCACUAUACUUUACCUAGUGUGGAAACAGAAUUAUGUGACAGAGUAUUUUAGAGUUAUAUGCCAGAGCAAUUGCAUGUUAUUAUGUGUUGUGAUAUAUUGUGAUAUGUGAUAUGCAUGAUUCAGAGUUUACAGUGUUAGGACCAGUGGGUCCACAGAGUUAUGGGACCAAGAGGGUCCCACAGAGAUAUUCGACCAGAGGGUCAACAGAGUUACAGCCUUGAGUGGCUGAUAUAUGUUUAUGUGGUAUCUUGGGGAACUCACUAAGCAAAUAUGCUUACAGUGUUAUGUGUGGUGUUUCAGGUACAAGCGAUGAUCGUGGGAAGGCGCCGGCAUGACUCGUACACACACACACUGGAGUUUACAUAUUUUGAUCUUGGGGUUUUGUAUUAAGAUAAUGAUGAUACAAUGUUUUAAAACGUGGAUCUGAAUGAAGUUAUAUGAUUUUUAAAAUGCGAAAAAUUGUUUAAAUCUUUACGGUGUUACAAGUUGGUAUCAGAGCGUUGGUUUGAGGGAUUCGGAUGCAUCUUCGGGCGUAUCUGAACUCAAACUGAGGAUUUGAAGAAAAUUUUGAUAAUAAAUUAAAAAAUUUUGAAAAAAAAAUAAUAAAAAGAGUUUUGAGACAAACAGAGCAGAGCCGUGUGUACGAUCACCCAGCGCCCGAACGGUGAUUUCCCAAAAUACCCUUACAAUAAGUGUUAUCAGAUAUAUUAUGUUAUGUUAUAUGACGAAUUAUGAUAUGCAUGCUAGAGUAGACUAGGUAUUCUUAUUAGGACUGGAGUGGCCUGAUAUAUGAUGCCUUAGUCUAGGGGCUUUUGUUGCUAGUAAUGUUUGAGAGUGUUUAGAUAGUAGUGAGGUGCUUAUGAGAUAUCUGCUUGUGAGUAACACAUGAUUUAAUAGAUUAGAGUGCUUGGAAAUUUGGGACUCUAGGAGGAUGAGUUGGAAUGAGUGUCGAGUCGGUGAGGUCGGUAGUAUUGGGCCCGUACUACCGAAGGCACCGGGUCAAUGCGCAACCCAAGUAAGAAUCCUUAGCGUACUAGAAACCAAGUAGGAUUGGGGGUAUCGAGUGUGUGCAUGCUCGAGUGAGUCCUUGAUAUCUUGUGUUGUAUUUCAGAGAGGUAUCAUGGUGGGAACGCGCCACAAAACAGGGACUAGUGGAGGGGGUGUGAGCGACGAGGAGCUCCGCCAGAUGAUUCAUGAUGAGGUGGCUGCUGCCAUCCAUGUUGAGAUUCCAAAGGUGUUCAGGUCUGUCAAGACCACCCUGAUAGAUACAUUUGAUGAGAGACAUGCUGCUCUUUCUGAUGCAGCUGUUGAUGCGGCCACUGCAGCUGUAGCUGCGGCUAGACCGCAGGGUGGUGAUGCGUUGCUAUUCCGGGAGUUCAGCAACACAAAACCACCAGAGUUUAAUGGGACCCAAGACCCGAUUUGUAGCGAUGAGGUGGAUUUCAGACAUGGAGGGGUUUUUCAUUACUUGCUCAUCUCCUGAGCAUUUGAGAGUCUGGUUCACGUUGAACCAGCUUCGCUUGGGUGCGAAGGACUGGUGGAAGUUUGUGACAGCACACUACACGCCUGCUGAGCUUACUGUAGUAACAUGGGAGAGGUUCAUUACUAUGUUUCGAGAUGAGUACGUUCCGCAGGUUGAGAGGGAGCGAUUGGCACAGGAGUUUCUGACCCUCAAGCAGGGUACUGAGUUUGUUACGGCGAUUAGUCGGAUGUUCCAUGAGAGGGCGAUGUUCUGCCCAGAGCACAUGUCCUCCGAGCAGGCACGUAUGAGUCGAUAUCUGAGCAUUUUGAGGAGGGAUAUACGGGAGUUCAUGGUGAUCUCAAUGUACUGGACAUUUUCUGAGCUUCAGGAAAAUGCCCAGAAGAGGGAGAUGGAGCUGGAGACUCAGGCUAGGGAGGAGGCUGAGUCUCAGGGGAGGGAUUGGCGACCGGCGCAGUCUCAGUCGGCAGCCAAGCGGGCCAAGCCCGCUGAUUUGAGAUCUGGGAGUCAGAAGGGCCGCACUUGUGGUAAGUGCGGCAAGAGCCACAAUGGGGUGUGCAGAGCGGGAUCUUGCUACAAAUGUGGCAAGGAGGGGCAUAUGGCCAAGGAUUGUCCCAAGGGGUUUGUAGUAUGUUUGCACUGCAACCAGACCAGACACCGCAAGGCAGCAUGUCCAAAGUUGCGAGGGACAACCCAGGGAGCACCUCAGGGAUCUGCCCCUACUCCUAUCAGAGCUGCUGAGACCCGGCCAGUGAAGGCCGAGGUACCGAAGGCACGAGGGGGAGCCUUUCAAUUGACUGCGGAGGAGGUCCGGGCUACGCCCGACAUCGUGGCUGGUAUGUAUCCUUCCUUGUAUUUAUUUUGAUGUUGGGAUAUAGUGUUUAUUUUAUGUUAUGCGUAGGUAAUUUUCUUGUGAAUUCUGUACCUGCCUUGGUGUUAUUUGACUCGGGUGCGAGUUGGUCUUUUGUAUCUUUGGCUUUUAGUCAGCACAUCAGUAUUAGCCGAGAGGCGUUGAGUCGACCUCUGAGCGUUUCCAUAGCUGACGAGAGGACGGUGUAUGCCGCCGAGGUACUCCGAGGAUGUGUACUCGAGAUUUUCGGUGUUGAGUUCCCGAUUGAUCUAGUUCCCAUUACGAUGGGAGAUGUCUGUGUCAUCAUGGGCAUGGACUGGUUGAGCAAAGUUGGAGUGGUCAUCGACUGUGGGAGACAGCUGGUGGCUAUACAAGACCGCAGUGGGGGAGUUCUUACGGUGUACGAUGAGGGUACACGUGCUGGGUCAGCAUUUUUUUCGGCCGCCAGAGCGAGACAGAGUCUACAACAGGGUUGUAGGGGAUUUGUAGCAUAUGUGAUGGAUGCGAGGGUUGAUUAAGAGAGACCGAGGUCAGUUGAUGAGGUUCCAAUAGUGCGCGAGUUUCCAGAUGUAUUUCCGGAAGAGUUGCCUGGUGUGCCUCCCGAGAGGCAGGUUGAGUUCAGUAUUGAUUUGGUUUCGGGGGCUGCGCCUGUCGCCAAGGCGCCUUAUCGCCUUGCGCCUCCAGAGAUGCAGGAGUUGUCCUCGUAGCUACAGGAGCUGCUGGGGAAAGGGUUUAUUCGGUCGAGUAGCUCACCUUGGGGAGCGCCUAUCCUUUUUGUCAAGAAGAAGGAUGGUUCACACCGGAUGUGCAUUGAUUACCGGGAUUUGAACAAGCUAAUGGUCAAGAACCGUUACCCGUUUUUGAGGAUCGACGAUCUGUUCGAUCAGUUGCAGGGAGCAUCUUGGUUCUCCAAGAUCGAUUUGAGGUCUGGAUAUCAUCAGGUGAGGGUGUGAGAUGAGGACAUCCAGAAGACAGCAUUCAGGACUCGUUAUGGGCAUUACGAGUUCGUGGUGAUGCCUUUCAGACUCACCAACGCACCGGCGGUGUUCAUGGAUCUCAUGAACAGAGUGUGAAGACCGAUGUUGGAUCGCUCGGUGAUCGUGUUCAUCGACGACAUAUUGGUGUAUUCGAGAUCUAGAGAGCAGCAUGAGGAGCAUUUGAGGGAAAUCCUCGGAGUUCUGAGAUCGGAGAGGCUUUAUGCCAAAUUCUCCAAGUUUGAUUUUUAGUUGCGAGAGGUCCAGUUCUAGGGCACCUCGUGAACCAGAAAGGGAUAUUGGUUGACCCGGCCAAGAUUGUGGCAGUGAUGAGUUGGGAGGUGCCGAGGUCACAUACCGAGAUCAGGAGUUUCCUAGGUUUGACUGGUUAUUAUCGGAAAUUUAUCAGGGAUUUCUCCAAGAUCGUCGUGCCACUCACCAAGUUGACCCGGAAAGGUGUUGCUUUUUCAUGGGGUCCAGCGAAGUAGGCCUCCUUCGAGACACUUUGCCAGAGAUUAUGUGAAGCUCCGGUGUUAGCUCUUUUUGGAGGGGAUGGAGGACUUCGUAGUGUAUUGUGACGCGUCGAUAUCUGGGCUGGGAGCGGUGCUUAUGCAGAGGGGUCAUGUGAUAGCAUACGCAUCGAGGCAGCUGAAGCCUCAUGAGACGAGGUAUCCCACCCACGAUCUGGAGUUGGGGGCGGUGGUGUUUGCCCUCAAGAUCUGUCAUCACUAUCUGUAUGGGGUUCGGUGUACCAUAUACACAUACCACAAGAGCCUGAAGUAUCUAAUGGAUCAGCCCAACCUGAAUAUGCGUCAGAGGAGAUGGUUGGAUGUGGUGAAGGAUUACGAUUGUGAGAUCCUGUACCACCCAGGCAAGGCUAAUGUUGUAGCCGAUGCACUGAGCCGAAGGGCAUAGGGCGCCUCGAUGUGAGAUGUUUGUUUGAGAUUGACAGUGAUGACUCCGGUGUUGGACAUUAUUCGUGGGGCCCAGGCUCAGGCCAUGAAGCCAGAAAGACAGAAGAAAAAGCGAGUUGUCGGGCUGGUAUCGGAGUUCGUUACCAAUGGCUGGGGGCUUAUGACAUUCCAGGGUUGGAUAUGGGUACCGUUUGUGGGCGGGACGCGUACCAUUUUGAUGGAAGAGGCUCAUAGAUUGAAGUUCUCAAUCCAUCCCGGGGCUACUAAGAUGUAUUUGGACCUGAAGAGGGAGUAUUAGUGGCCAUGUAUGAAGAGGGAUGUCGCAUGGUUUCUAGAAAGAUGCUUGACUUGUCGCAGGGUUAAGGCCGAGCACCAGCGUCCACAUGGUAAGUUUUAGCCGUUAGAGAUUCCCGAGUGGAAAUGGGAACAUAUUACCAUGGAUUUCAUCACCAAAAUGCCAAGGACUGCGAGAGGUGUCGAUGCAAUUUGGGUGAUUGUGGACAGGUUGACGAAGAGCGCUCAUUUCAUUUCUAUCAGUGAGAGCUCUUCCGCGGAGAGGUUGGCAGAGACGUAUGUUAAAGAGGUGGUAUCGCGGCAUGGAGUGUUGAUCUCGAUUAUCUCAGAUCGAGAUGUACGUUUCACUUCCAGAUUCUGGAAGAAGUUUCAUGAGGAAUUGGGUACAAGACUGCAUUUUAGUACCUCAUACCACCCACAGACUGACGGGCAGAGUGAGCGGACGAUUUAGGCGCUCGAGGACAUGCUCCGAGCAUGUGUGUUGGAUUUCGGCGGAAGUUGGGACACGUACUUGCCCUUCGCAGAGUUUUCCUACAACAACAGCCAUCAUUCGAGGAUUGAUAUGCCACCCUUUGAGCUGUUGUAUGGAAGGAGGUUCAGACCCCCAUUUGCUGGGGUGAGGUAGGGUAGCGUGUGAUGGGUAGUACCGAGAUCGUGCUUCAGAAGACAGAGUAGAUUCGGUAGGUCAGACAGAGGUUGUUGACCGCUCAAAGUCGUCAGAAGAGUUAUGCGGAUAGGCGUCGGUCCGAGCUCGAGUUUCAGGUCGGCAACUUCGUGCUCCUGAAGGUCUCUCCUUGGAAAGGAGUGAUUCGAUUCAGGAAGAGGGGCAAGUUGGGGCCCCGAUAUAUUGGUCCUUUCAGAUUGAUCACGAUAGUAGGCAAGGUAGCCUACCGUUUGGAGUUACCGGUAGGCAAGGUAGCCUACCGUUUGGAGUUGGGUCAGAUUCAUGACACUUUACACGUGUCGCAGCUGAGAAAGUGUAUAGCCGACGAGUCGGCAGUGGUGCCAUUAGAGGAUAUUCAGGUGGAUGCGAGCCUAAACUAUAUUGAGAGAUCGGUGGAGAUUAAGGAUUGGAAGAUCAAGGUUUUGAGGAACAAGGAGGUGCCUCUGGUGCAGGUCAAGUGGCAGCAUCGAAAAGAGUCAGAGUUGACUUGGGAUCUGGAGCGUGAGAUGUGGGAGCAGCAUCCAAAGUUGUUCCCAGGUAUAUUAUUUAUUCUUUUAUUUUUGGAGAUUGGGAGGGGACUCGGUGAGUUGGUGUUCAGACUCGCCGAGUAUGAUCGCGGAUUCGUAUCCGGGUUCACAACUAGACUCGACUAGUUCAUGAGUGGACUCGACGAGUCCAUGCUGUUUAAUGAAACCCUAAUUUUCAAGGUUUGGGACCUAUUUAAAGGCCCUUAGGGCCGUCAUUUUCGGCAACCAAACCCCAAAGAGAAACCCUACGAGAUCUAGAGCCAUUGUGAGGAAGGAGAGGCCAUUCUUGAUCAUUUUGUUGGUGUAAUUGCAAGAAAGAGGUGACCAAGGCAAGAGGAGGCUGAAGGAGGUGCAAUUCUGGUGAUUUCAGAGUUCAUAGACUUCAUCUUGAGGUAUUUAUUUGGACGUUCUUCAGAUUGGUGUUGAUUCUUAGAGUUAGGGUUUUCUAACCCCCUUUAGAGGAUGGAUAUGUGGAGCAAUUGGUCUCCUCUCGAGUUUAUGCUUUGGAUCUCGACUCAAAGAGGUCCAAAGACCUUAACCCUUUGAGGUUUAUGAGCUAUUUUGGGAGCCAUGAACUUAGGAUGUUGUUUUUUGGACUGAAUCACCAAGUGAGACCAUCUAGAUGUUAUAUGUGUGUCAAGGUCUGAACUUUACGUGAUUAGCAUGCUUGGGAAGGUCAGAUCUAUGGAUUAAAGGAACAGAUCUGACCUCAGGAGGUCUAUGGAGUUUGUGCAUGGCAUAGACUCGCCGAGUCCAAAGAUCAGACUCGGCGACUAGGGUUAGGGUUUCCCGUAAAUCACUCAGUGAGUAGACUUGCUGAGUUGGGAAAAUAACUUAGUGAGUCAGAGGGGGAUUAAGGGACUGGAGUUCAAGGCGGAACUUGCCGAGUUGUUCUUGAGACUCGGCGAGUUGAAUCGGGGUGGCCGCGCGAUUCAUGCCACGUAUGACUCGUCGAGCAAGGGGAGGAACUCGACGUGCCAAGCGGGACUAAAAAGUUAGUGGUCACGUGUAGACUCGCCGAGUCGCCCAAGUGCACUCGACGAGUCGGGUCAAAGUUUGACCAUUGACUUUUGUUGACUUUUAGGGUUUGGUCAACAAUGUGGCCUUUCAGCUAAAAGAGGGGUAAAAUGGUCUUUUUCCUGCUGAGGGUGCCCAGAGAGGGUUGAGUCUAGUUUCGAGAGUUAUAUUUUUGAGAGUAUUUACUUCUUCUAAUUAGGCGGAGGCUAGAUCAUAUUUCUACUGAGUCAUAGAUUUACCGAGACAUCUAAGGUGAGUCUUCUCACUAUACUUUACCUAGUGUGGAAACAGAAUUAUGUGACAGAGUAUUUUAGAGUUAUAUGCCAGAGCAAUUGCAUGUUAUUAUGUGUUGUGAUUUAUUGUGAUAUGUGAUAUGCAUGAUUCAGAGUUUACAGAGUUAGGACCAGUGGGUCCACAGAGUUAUGGGACCAAGAUAGACCCACAGAGAUAUUCGACCAGAGGAUCAACAGAGUUACAACCUUAAGUGGAUGAUAUGUGUUAUGUGGUAUUUUGGGGAACUCACUAAGCAAAUAUGCUUACAGUGUUAUGUGUGGUGUUUCAGGUACCAACGAUGAUCGCGGGAAGGCGCCGGCAUCACUCGUACACACGCAUACUGGAGUUUAUAUAUUUUGAUCUUGGGGUUUUGUAUUAAGAUAAUGAUGAUACAAUGUUUUAAAACAUGGAUGUGAAUGAAGUUAUAUGAUUUUCAAAAUGCGAAAAAUUGUUUAAAAUUUUACGGUGUUACAUCCAACAUCGGCCUACAUACCCGGUUCAUGAGAUCCAUGAAUGAUGUCAGGGCAUUGGUGAGCCCAAACAGCAUCACGACAAACUCAUAAUGCCCAUAUCUAGUCCUGAAAGCCGUCUUCGAUAUAUCCUCCUCCCGAAUCCUCAUCUGAUGAUACCUAGACCAAAGAACAAUAUUUGAGAACCAAGACGCACCCUGAAGCUAGUCGAAUAAGUCAUCGAUCCUUGGCAAGGGAUAAUGGUUUUUCACCGUCAGUUUUUUAGUUCCCUAUAAUCAAUGCACAUGUUGUGCGAUCCAUCCUUCUUUUUCACGAAAACGAUCAGUGCUCCCCAUGGAGAGCUCCUCGGACGGAUAAACCCUUGGUCUAGUAGUUCCUGGAGCUGCGUGGAUAACUCCUGCAUCUCAGGUCGUGCCCACUGAUACGGUGCCAUCGCUAUCGGAGCCUCACAUAGCACUAAAUCGACGCGAAACUCUACCUGCGUCUCCGGAGGUAGUCUCGGUAACUCUUCAGAAAAAACGUCCCCAUAAUCCCGUACAACUGGUACACUAUCCACAUCCGACAUGGUCUCCGUUCUCGUAUCCGAAAUAUAAGCCAGAAAUCCUGAGCAACCCUGCUGUAGAAACCUCCUUGCCCUCUCAGCCGAACAGGAGGUCGGUCCCUGCGAGGACCUCUCACCAUGAGUAACAAGCUCUCCCCCACUUGGGGUUCGAACCCUGACUAGUUGGCGCUCGCAAUCAAUCAUGACCCCAUUGGCCCCCAACCAGUCCAUUCUGACUAUCACCUUCAGUCCUCAUAACGGUAUCAGAACUAGAUCUACACGAAACCUCUCGCCCAACACAUUCAAAACACAGCCCGAAUAUACCAUCGCCGCACUAACGGUGCGGUCAUCAGCAAUCUCCACCUCGAGUGAGGAAUCCAAGGUCCCCGACGCAUCCCCAAACUUCUUGCUAAGGGAAAGAGACACAAACGACCGGGUAGCACCCGAAUCAAACAAGACUUGAGCAGUCAUACCAUUCACCAAUAAGGUCCCUAUACAAACGUAAUUACACAUAAGUCAUACAAAAUAAUAAAAGUAUAUGAUAGUGAAGACUUACCAGCCACAACAUUUGGCGCGGCCCGAACCUCCUCGGUAGUCAACUGAAAUGCGUAGCUCUUCACCUCUGGGGCUUCCGCCUUAGCAGGGAGGACAUCAGUGAUCCUCAGUGUGGCGGGUGCAGGUGUUGCAACUGCUCCUCCCGCUCCCUACAACCUAGGAUAGUCGCCCUUCUUAUGGCCAGUCUGGUUGCAGUGGAAAAAUAUCAGACCCUUCUUGGGGCACUCCCUGCUCACGUGGCCCUGCUGACCACAAGAGUAGCAUUCUGAUACCUCAGCUGUCCGACACGCCCCACUAUGAAACCUCUCGCAUUUGGUACACCAGCUCCAGCCCUUCUGACCCUUAUGCGAAAAAUCAGAGGUCUUAGGCUUCUUAGCCUGACCCCAUGCUACAUGCGCCUGCUCAGUCUUCUCCUUCGUGCAGGUAUCCAACUCCAUCUCCCGUUCACGGGCCUUCUCCACCAUCUCAUUUAGUGUUUUGCACCCCUUAAAACAAACAAACUUCCUAAUAUCAUCCCUCAACAUGGAAUGAUAUCGGAUCCUCCUCAUCUCCUCUUCAGUAGCAUAUUAUGGGAUCAACAAAGCUCGCUCUCAAAACUUGGCGAUGAUCUCUGCCACAGUCUCGGUGGUCUGCUACAAAUCAUGAAACUCCCUCACUAGACAUUGCACCUCAAUAGGUGGUGCAAACUCUGAAGCAAACCGCCGAACAAACGCGGACCACGUCAUAUCGGCUACUCCGGCUGGCUCCACCUGACUAGUAACCUCACCCCACCAAUCGUGGGCCCUAUCUCUCAACAAACAUGAAACAGACACAACCUUUGCCGCAUCCGGGCAAGAACUCGUGCGUUGGGCAUUCUCGAUGUCCGCUAACCAGCGUUGGCUGACAAAGGGGUCCCUGACCCCGAAGAACUCUGACGCCCCACAUGCCUUGAACUUCCGGGACGAGGGAGUUAGGGUCCCCACCUAACCCGCUGGCAACUCAGCCCUGAACGAUCUAAGUCUCUCCUCCAUAAUCCCCAUAAUGCCCUCCUUGACCGUCCCAAAUAUGACUGGGGUUGCGUCAAGGAUGCCCCUGGUAACCUCGGCUGCAAUGAGCUCGCGCAGCCUCUCAUCAAUGACAUUAGUAGUGUCUCCUGAUACUGCCUCGGAUCCAGAACCCGAUCUUGAUCAUCCUUCUCCUAAACGGGUCACCACCAUGCUGAACUGAAAUAUCAACAUCUAUAAUGAUCAUGAUUUCCAUAUAAGGGAUCUUCCCACACCGGUCCUCCUUGAAGUUAUCUUAUCUAACAGUGCUUCGGGUACAAGUCCUGUGCUUCCAAUAGUACGGGCCGAAUACUACCUUCCACACCUACCUAUACCUUUCCCCACUGUUUUAUCUAAUAACUUCAAUUUGUACCACAACUAAACCAUAUCCCACGAUUACCGAGUACCCCAGCCUUAGUUCGUCCUAAGUCUCACCCUACUCAUAUCAAUCAAACCAAUCAUGACAGGUUGCCAUUAUGCAUGCAAAUUGUACACAGAAAAGGAUCAAAUAGGCUUUUGAAUAAGAGACUCUACCCUAGAACCACAACCAAACAAGGAACAGGAAAUAAGGCCAAAUCAAUCAUUCUGAGACUAUAAGCUCCUAACCUUAUACAAUUUUAAGAACAUACACCUAGCAAAUUCCAUAUAAUCAAUAAGGCUCAAUUAUCAGUAUAACAUGGCUUAACAUAUUGGGAAACUACUUACUUGACUCGGCUGAUCAUGUGCAUUUCACUCUCAUCUUUCUCUUCCUGUUGAAAACUAUUUUAAGUUACGUUUUUGAAAACAACAAUAUUUUUUACCAUUUCCUCAGCUUGAGUCACGACACACCCGAAAGUGUGCCCGAAUCCCUCAAACCAAGGCUUUUAUACCAACAUGUAACAACCCAAAAAUUCAAAGAAACUUUUCGCUUUUAAUUAAUAAAACAUAAAUUCAUAAACCAUGAUAUUCCUACAUAAUUGUUUCCAAAUCAACUAUUCAUUACAACUUAUUCAAAACAUCCGAGUGUCCCUCGUUCCUAAUUGUGAAAGAGAGAGAGAUAGAGUGCAUGCCACGCUAUCACGCCUUGCCCUUGUCCUUGGGCUCAGAUGUACCUGAAAGAAAUCAACAACCUAUAAGAGAAAUGCUUAGUGAGUUCCCUAGAGCAUACCAUACACCACACGUGCACACAUCCUGUUAGCUAAAUAAAGCUACACACAUAUCAGAUAAACAAUGCAUAUAUAAAACCUGUAAUAGUGCCAUGGGCUACCCCACAUGGUCUUUACCUAGGACUGCCAUGGGCUACCCCACGUGGUCUUACAUCCAAUGCCAUGGGCUACAACACAUGGUAUUUACCUAGGACGGCCAUGGGCUACCCCACAUGGUCUUACAUCUAAUUUCAUGGGCUCCCUCCAGGGGUCUUCAUGCAAAAAACAUAAUCACGUAUCAUAUAAAAGCACAUAAUGGCUAACACAUAUACCAUAAACAAAUAAUGGGUUGGCCUUAGUGACUUACACCCAUAAAUACAAACAUUGCCCUCCUAACAGUCCGCAAUCCCCCGAGCUGGACAAUAAUAGAGGUAAUACAAUAAAUAUUAGAACUUUAAAUGUACCAAGGGGAAACCAACCUCCAAACCCUUCCCCAAGGCCCAAAUACCCUUUACCUAUUAAUGGGCCCCAAAGUCCGAGUCCAAUAUCCUUCAUGGGCCUCUUGGCCCAAUAAGGCCCAAUCAUUGCAUCCAUGGCCCAUACAGAUGAAAAAUUCCAUAAUUCACAGAAUACAACAAAGCCCUAUACCCAAAUGAGACCCACAGGCUUAAAGGCCCAAAACAAAUUAAGACCCAACUUCUGCUGCGUACGCCCAACAUACCAUCUUGGUACGUGCAACAUACUGAGGUUUUGGGGCUAUGCGCCGCGUACAACUGGUUAUGCCCAACGUACACCCAGUUUAAGCACUUUCUCCAUUAAGUGCUUAAUGCUUGGUUUCCUCACAACCAAAAGUCAGAUAUAUGUUUGUUAAAACGUCCUAAGGUAUAAUGUUGCCAACUUUAUGCCCUUGCAUGCCUCAAAAUCGUCCAACACUUCCGUUAAGACCUUUUCAAGGUUCUUAAUCCAUGCAUGAGACCUAACCAUCCAUCAAGAUCCCAAUUUUAUGCUUCUAAAUGACCAAGGGACCUCAGAUCUGCCAUCCUCAUCUUAUGGAGUUGCUUAACUCACCAAAAGAGGUCCAAAACCAACCAAAUGGGAAAAAAUAGAAAAUCCUAGCUACAUCUAAGGAUUUAGAUGGAAAGGUGCAAGCUUUUUACCUCUAGAAGAUUUUUAAGGUGAUUUUGUUGCAGGAUCUUGAAGCACCUAUAUGAUCCAAGCUUGGUUGACCACUUCUUCUUCUUACAAUGAACACUAAAAGGUCACAAAUGCACUCUUUUAAGCUCAAGAAUGAUCUCACAAGGUUCUCUGGGGGUACAAGGACACUCUAAGGCUAUGGAGGCUCUCUGGGGUUAAGUCCAAGGGACUUAAGAUCGUUUAAAUAGGCCUUAUGCCCAAAGAUUAGGGUUUUGGCUCUCUGACGCGUAUGCUCGGCGUACCCUUACGUACGCCCAACGUACGUGAGGCGCCUCCGCGAUCAAUCAUGUAGAGUACGCUAAGCAUACACCUAGGUACGCCCAGCAUAGUCGAGGGACCAAAUAGGCUUAUAAAUGAGAUCUUGAGGGUUUCCAAAACAUACCAGAUUAGGGUGUUACAGAGAUGAUGACCGCCACUGUCUCCCUGCUGCUGCCAUCAUUGUGAGCCUUCGCCACCUCCGCCCAUUUGAUUCCACCAUCGACAAUUCCCGUGAAGGCCAGGAGACCCAAAAUUGUGAGCUUCGAUUUAUCAUGUCCCAAACCUACAACUUCCGAUUUAGGGCUUGAGAUGUGUCUGCAUAAAUCGUGAUUGGUAAAUGACAGGAAUUAUUUAAACUUUGAUUCCAUUGAUUUAAAUCUAACCCUGGAGUUGUUAAAUUCAUGGAAUUGACUCUUCCUUUGAAGUCUAUCACAAAUAAGCCCAAACCUCAUUUAAUUCAUGGAAUUGACUCCUCCUUUGAAGUCUAUCCCGAUUUAGGGCUUGAGAUGCGUCUGCAUAAUAGAUAUAGUUUGGGAAACACUAUACUAUCUUAAAAGCUUGAGAGCACUAUAUAGAAACAAGUAUAUAAACUAUAAUUGAUAUAGUUUAGGAAAUACUACUCUAUAACACUAUUUCAAGGAAUACACUAUUAAAUAAUUAUCUAAGUAUAAUUAUUUUACCAUACAAAGUACACUAUUACAAGGAAAUUCAUACAAACUCAAGUACAAGAGAACACUAUAACACUACACGUAAACUAGUUAAUACAAGAUUGUGAGACACUACUUCAUUGUAUCUAUCAGGGUACUAGUUCAAAAUCAUCUAAACUAUAACCAGAGUCUCUUGGAGGGAGAACGUGAGUUUGUGUAUAGAUCGAUAUGGAACUGACAAUCCCACACCUGAGCUGCUUGCAACAGCUAGGUCGGCACGUCUGAGGUGACAAACGUUAUAACAUUCUGAAGCCUGAAGAACGUCGCAGAGGUCACUAGUCAUAUUAGCAUGGUUAUAUGAAACUCUCAAUAGUAUUAACUAAAACACAGUUACUGGAUUAACACUACUUCAAUGGUUUUAUUUUAAAUAAUGAAACUACAGCACACUAUUUUACACUACAACUGGUGGGAUCUAGACAUUCAUACAAACGUUUUCAUAUAAACACUACUACACUAUACUACAGCUGGUGGAUACCAGGCAUUCAUACAAAAGGGUUUUUAGAAAAAUACUACUACGCUAUGCUAUUUCUCUACUACAGAGUACACUAGUACGUCAUACAACAUUCAUGAUAUAGUUUUAUUUUAAUAAGACUACAUUAUACAAUUUCAGAGCAUAGUAACAAACAUACAUUUUGGUCUUAAGACCUGAGAUUACAUUUCAUUCACUAUAUAGAAUAUUGGAUUUUCUGGAGGAACAUAUAAUCAUUUUCAAAGAACAGAGACAAGUUUUCCAUCACUAAAACAUACUUAUGAACUCACCAACUUAAAUGUUGAUAUUCUUUCAAAAUCACUUGUAUUCUCAGGAAACUGGUAGACAUGUACACUGCAUGUUUUUUAGAAGACGGAGCUUUAAGGUGUCUCAUCUAUAGCGUUUGCUAUACAUUUUUAUGUUAUACAUACAAUAUAUCAAAUAUAAUGUAAACACUUUAUUAUUAAUGCAAUGGUUGUUGUUUACUUUAAUUACUAUUAUACAAUUAUUGUGAUUUUGUACAUGACGUCCUCCGCCCCCGAAUGUUUCCGCCGUUCUGGUUUAGGGGUGUGACAAAUUGCUAUCAGAACAUUGUUUAUAGUGAACUAAGUACAUCAAACCUUGCAAGAUAUAUAACUAUAAACACUAUGGGGCUGAAGCGCUUUAAGCUAAAAUUUAUAAGAAGUAUACAAACAUGCAUACAUACCAUAAAUAGUAUCACAGUAAGAACUACAUAAAAGUAUUCGAACGAGUUGGACACUACGGUUAAAUCUGGAUAGUUAAGUAAUCAUAUCUGGGAUAAAUAUAGCCUGAUCAACUAUAUUUAUUUGAGAUACGACCAACAUGCGUUUGGGAGUGAUCAUAGUCUUGUGACAAGUCUAACACUUUCCAACACUAUAUACAACAGGAACUCUAGAACCAAACAUAAAGUUAAAAUACUAUAGGAGUAUUUUAAGGUACUACAUUACUAGAAUCAACUAUGUAAAAAAAGGACCAUGUUGGUAGAUGUACAAGUACUAAGUGUAUACAUUACGGUUAUAUAUAAUUAAGGUUUUUAUAGACUUAGAAUUUGUGGUUGAGCUUUACUUCCUUUUCCUUGUUUGGAUGUGGAUAUAGAGUAGGAUCAUUUAUUCAAAGGGCUAUUCGACAUGAGUUAUAUAUAAUUAGUAUACACUAUGUAGUUAUAGGGGACCCAGUAUGGUUCACACAAUAUAAAGACAUUAACAGUGUAGCCAUAAAUUUAAACACCUACUUAAACAAAAUUCCCAACCACUAAAAGACACAUUCACUGUAGAAAUGGAAAAUGGAAAGACAGAGAGCACUAAUGACAUAUACAUUGGAUGUACCCUUACUCUAAAUAACUUUUCCUUCCGAAUCGGCCUUAUGACGGUCUCAAUAAAAAGUUUUGAUGCCCUCAUUGGUAUAGAUUGGUUAGGUCCUAAUCUUGAAGAUAUCCUAUGUUAUGAAAAAUUCAUUCGCCUUAAUCUACCAAGUAAUUAAACCCUCGUCAUUAAUGGCGACAAACCCGACACAAACUAACAAAUCAUUUCAUGCAUUAUGGCUCAAAAGUAUCGUCGCAAGGUGUAAUAUGCCUUUCUAGCUCACAUGGUGGAUAAGAAACAAAAGGUAAAAGACAUCGAGAGCAUUCCUGAAGUCUGUAAUUUCCCUGACAUAUUCCCCAAAGAUCUUCCAGGAGUUCCACCAGAACGACAAGUCGAGUUCAAAAUCGACUUAAUUCCUGAAGCUACCCCCGUAGAAAAAUCAUUCUAUCAUCUAGAACCAAUAGAAACGCAGGAAUUAUCCAGCCAACCGAACAAUAUACUAAGCAAAGGUUUCAUUAGACCAAGCUUCUCACCCUGGGGAGCACCGGUCUUGUUCGUAAAAAAGAAGUAUGGAUCUUUUCGCAUGUGCAUAGACUACCGCGGGCUAAACAAACUCACUACCAAGAACCGAUAUCCCUUACCACAUACAAAUGAUCUAUUCGACCAACUCCAAGGAGCAAGCUACUUUUAAAAGAUUGACUUAAGAUCCGGGUAUCACCAGUUACGGAUUCUAGAAGAAGAUGUUCCCAAAAUAGCAUUUUGAACUCAUUAUGGUCAAUACAUGUUUGUAUUGAUGCCCUUUGGAUUAACGAAUGUACCCGCUGUGUUCAUGGACUUAAUGAACAGGGUAUGUCGUCCUUACUUAGACAAGUUCAUGAUAGUAUUCAUAAAUACUUAUUUACUCACGAAGUAAGGAGGAACAUAGUCAACACCUCUGAUAGGUCUUGGAAACAUUAAGAGAGGAAAAGUUAUAUGUGAAGUUCUCGAAGUGCGAGUUUUGGAUUCAGAAAGUAGAUUUAUUAGGUCAUGUGGUCAGCGAAGAAGGAAUACACGUGAACCCUUCCAACAUAAAGGCAAUUGAGAACUGGUCAGCACCAAGAAUGCCAAUAGAAAUCUCUCAAUUCUUAGGCAUUGGUGGCUACUACCGAAGGUUCAUCCAAAACUUCUCCAAGAUUGCAAAACCAAUCAUCACCCUGACUCAGAAGGGUGUAACCUUCAACUGGAAGGAGAAAAAAGAAACUGUUUUCCAAACACUAAAACGAGCCCUAUGCAGCGCCCCGAUCUUGUCCCUCCCUAAAGGGAUGAAAGAUUUUGUAGUUUACUACGAUGUGUCCAGACAAGGGCUAGGUAGCAUUCUUAUGCAAUGAGGAAAAAUCAUAUCAUAUGCCUCGAGACAACUUAAGAACCACGAGGUCAACUAUACCACGCACGACCUCAAACUAGGAGUUUUGCUUCUUACUCUGAAGAUCUGGAGGCAUUACCUUUAUGGUACAAAAUGCAUAGUCUUCACAGAUCACAAAAGUCUCCAGCACAUCUUCGAUCAAAAAGAACUGAACAUGAGGUAACAACGAUGGGUAGAACUACUUAAUGAUUACGAAUGCGGGAUUUGCUAUCAUCCCAGCAAAACCAAUGUAGUAGCAGAUGCCGUUAGUCGAAAAGAGUACUCGGACCGCCGAGUAAAGUCUCUAACUAUGAAAAUCCAUUCACACAUGUCCGUGCAGAUCAAAGAGGCUCAGCUGGAAGCCUUGAAACCUGAGAAUUUUACAGGUGAAACCUUAAGAGGAAUGGAUAAAAACCUGGAAGUCAAUGGUAACGGAGUUUGUUAUCUCAUAAAUCGAAUCUAGACACCGAAGUUUGGUGGCUACAGAGAUGUUGUCAUGAACGAAGCCCACAAGACUCAAUACUACAUUCAUCCUUCUCAAGAAACUUUAUUGGUGGCCAAACAUGAAAGCAGAAAUUGCUACCUAUGUGGGAAAAUGUCUGACUUGCACCAGAGUCAAGGUAGAAUACCAUUAAAGCAUCGGGUAUAUUACAAAAACCCAAUAUACCCGAGUGGAAGUGGGAUCAGAUAACCAUGGAUUUUAUAACCAAGUUUCCUAAGACAAUAGGUGAUCUCGACACCAUUUGGGUGAUCAUUGACAGGUUAACCAAAGUUGUGCACUUCUUGCCAAUAAAGGAGACGGAUAAUAUGGAGGAAUAGACCAGAACACAUGUAACACCCAGAUUUCCAGGUAUGAGAUUUUGUUCGUUUAUUUUUAGGUUUUGUGGCGGAAAUCGGCGAGUUGGCGUCUAGACUCGCUGAGUAUGGUCACGGAUUCGUAUGCGAGUUCACAGCUGGACUCGGCGAGUUCAUGAGUGGACUCCGCGAGUCCAUGCUGUUUAAUGAAACCCUAAUUUCCAGGGUUUGAGACCUAUUUAAAGGCCCUUAUGGCCGUCCAUUGUGGCUACCACACCCCAGAGAGAGUCCUAGAUCACUUGUGAGGUGAGGAUAGGCCAUUGUUGAUCAUUUGUUGGUGAAAUUCGAAGGAGAAGGUGACCAUGGCAAAAGAAGGCUGAAGGAAGUGCAAAUCUAGUGUCUUCAGAGAUCAAAGGCUUCAUAUUAAGGUAUUCCUUCGGACCUUCUCCAGUUUUGGGUGUUGAUACAUAGAGUUAGGGUUUUUAAACCCUUUAGAAAAAGAAUAUGUAGAGUAUUUAGUCCCCUCUUGAGUUUGUGCUUUGGAUCUGGACUCAAAGAGGUCCAGAGACUUUAUCCCAUGGAGCUUUAUGAGUCAUUUUGGGAUUAUUGGACUUAGGUUGCCAUUUUUGGGACUAAAUCACCAUUGGAUGCCAUUAUGUUGAUAUGUAAACAUCAAGUUUUGAGCUUUACGUGACUUUCAUGCUUGGGAAGGCCAGAUCUGUGGAUUAGGGGCACAGAUCUAACCCCAAAAGGUCAAUAGAGAUGGUGCAUGGCAUGAACUUGCCGAGUUGUUCUUGAGACUCGGCGAUUAAGGUUAGGGUUUCAUGUGAAUAGCUUUGUGAGUAGACUUGCCGAGUUGGGGGAUAACUCAGUGAGUCAGAAAGGGAUUAGAGGAUUGGGGUUCAAGGCGGUACUCGCCGAGUUGUUCUUGAGACUCGGCGAGUUGAGUCAGGGUGGCCUUGCGAUUCAUGUCAGGUGUGACUCGUCGAGUAAAGAGAAGGACUCGACGUGCCAAGAAAGGGACUAAGAGGGUCAGUGGACACGUGUAGCAUGAACUUGCCGAGUUGUUCUUGAGACUCGGCAAUUAGGGUUAGGGUUUCAUGUGAAUAGCUCUGUGAGUAGACUUGCCGAGUUGGGGGAUAACUCAGUGAGUCAGAAAGGGAUUAGAGGAUUGGGGUUCAAGGCGGUACUCGCCGAGUUGUUCUUGAGACUCGGCGAGUUGAGUCAGGGUGGCCUUGUGAUUCAUGUCAGGUGUGACUCGUCGAGUAAAGAGAAGGACUCGACGUGCCAAGAAAGGGACUAAGAGGGUCAGUGGACACGUGUAGACUCGCCGAGUCACCCAGGUGCAUUCGACGAGUCGGGUCAAAGUUUGACAAUUGACUUUUGUUGACUUUAGGGUUUGGUCAACAGUAAGGCCUUUGAGCCAGGAGAGGGGUAAAAUGGUCUUUUACCCUUCUGAGGAUGUUAAGAAAGGUUGGAGUAUAGUUAUAUUUAUGGGAGUAUUUGCUUUAUGUGAUUAGGUGGAGGCUAGAUCACGUUUCUACCGAGACAGAGACUUACCGAGAUAUCAUAGGUGAGUCUUCUCACUAUACUGUACCUGGAAAGGUACCUAUGUGUGACCGGAAGGUCUUGUAUGCUAUGAGAUGCAUGUUUUGCGUUGCAUGUUCUGUAUGCGUUAUGUAUGUGAUAUGUAUGUUAUGUAUGAUAUGGGCCGGAAGGCAUUAUGACGUGGACCGGAAGGUCAAGGAGUCAUGGACCGGAAGGUCGAUACGAGUUGGACCGUAAGGUCCACUAGGACUGGGACGGAAGUCCCCUGAGACACAUGGACCGGAAGGUCAUGUUGAGUAUGGCCUGGAAAGGCGUAUGUGUGUAAGGGUAUUUUGGGGAACUCACUAAGCAUUUGUGCUUACAGUUGUUGUGUUAUGUGUUUCAGGUACUAGCGAGGACCGUGGAAAGGCGUCGGCAUGACUCGUACACACUAGAGAGAGGAUUUGAUUUUUGUGAUCUUGGGAUACGAUAUGUUUUGGUAACUAUUACUGGAUAUUUUAUAAAACAUUUUAUGUGAAAAUGGUUGUGAAAAGAAUGAAAUUUUUUUUUUGAAAUUCACGUUGUUACAAGUUGGUAUCAGAGCCUAGGUUUGAGAGAUUCAGAUGCACCUUCGGGCAUAUCUGAACUCAAUCCGAGGAUUUGAGGAAAAUUUUGAUAAUGAAGUAAAAUUUUUGAAAAGAUUAAAAAGAGUUUUGAGACAAACAGAGCAGAGCCGUGUGUACGAUCAGCCAGCGCCCGAACGGUGAAUUCCCAAAAGUACCCUUACAUUAUGUGUUAUGAGAUAUGUUAUGUUACAUUAUGCAUGCUAGAGUAGGCUAGGUAUACAUAUUAGGACUAGAGUGGCCUGAUUUGUGAUGCCUUAGCCUAGGAGAUUUCUGCUNNNNNNNNNNNNNNNNNNNNNNNNNNNNNNNNNNNNNNNNNNNNNNNNNNNNNNNNNNNNNNNNNNNNNNNNNNNNNNNNNNNNNNNNNNNNNNNNNNNNNNNNNNNNNNNNNNNNNNNNNNNNNNNNNNNNNNNNNNNNNNNNNNNNNNNNNNNNNNNNNNNNNNNNNNNNNNNNNNNNNNNNNNNNNNNNNNNNNNNNNNNNNNNNNNNNNNNNNNNNNNNNNNNNNNNNNNNNNNNNNNNNNNNNNNNNNNNNNNNNNNNNNNNNNNNNNNNNNNNNNNNNNNNNNNNNNNNNNNNNNNNNNNNNNNNNNNNNNNNNNNNNNNNNNNNNNNNNNNNNNNNNNNNNNNNNNNNNNNNNNNNNNNNNNNNNNNNNNNNNNNNNNNNNNNNNNNNNNNNNNNNNNNNNNNNNNNNNNNNNNNNNNNNNNNNNNNNNNNCUGCAGCUACAGCAGCUAUGGCUGCUGCCAGACCUCAGGGAGGUGACUCGUUGUUGUUCUGGGAGUUUACCAAAACGAAGCCACCCGAGUUUGAUGGGACGAAAGAUCUGAUCGUUGCGAUGAGAUGGAUUGCUAACAUUGAGGGAUGCUUCUAUACGUGUUCAUGUUCGGAGCAUCUGUGUAACAGCCCGAAAUCUCAGGUAUUGUUUAAAUUAUGUUUUUUGGGUGAUUUAAGAGGGGACUCGGCGAGUUGGAGCCUAGACUCGCCGAGUAGGAUCGCAGACUUGGUCGUGGGAUCGCGACUGGACUCGACGAGUCCAGGUAUGGACUCGGCGAGUCGACGCUGUUCAGCAGAAACCCUAACUGUUCGGUUUGGGAUCGUAUAUAAUGCUCUUAUGUGCCGUCAUUGUUCGUUUUUAGUCGAUUGAGAGAAACCCUAAUCGGUGGUGGGCAUCUAGAGCAAGAUUGGAGGAUAUUAGGGCUUGAAGAAGUUGUAGGACAAAGAGAAGAAGGUUUUGGCUAAAGGAACAGCAAAGGAUUCGAGUUCUGCGAUUUGGAAACACAGAGAGGGCAUAUUCCAGGUAAUAUUUCGGAAUUCCUUCUGUUGUUUGUUGUGUUUGUGAAGUUAGGGUUUAUGAAACCCAUUUAGUGAUUAGAUAAGUUAUUAUGUUGUUACCCAAACGUUUAUACCCCCAGUAAUGAGAUGUUUAGAUGUCCAGAGGGUCCCAUGGUUGUAUACCUUGGGGCCAUACGUGAUUCAGGAAGCAGUUACUCGUCUGCAUGGCAUGGACUCGCCGAGUUGUUCUUCAGACUCGGCGAGUAGCUUGAAGAUGUACUGGGACUCGCCGAGUUGUUCUUCAGACUCGGCGAGUGGAGUCGGGGUGGCCCCGCGAUUCUUCCAGGAGUAACUCGUCGGGUCAAGGAGGAUACUCGACGAGUAGAUAAGGAAUCUCAGAAAGUUGGAGGACGUCUAGACUCGCCGAGUCGCCAUGGUACUCGCCGAGUCCGGUCGAGUUGACAGUUGACCGUUGACCAGAGUUGACCUAAGUCUGACUUCUUAGGGAUAGUCACACUUAGAAGAUAUAAGUGUUAAUGAGUUAUGUAAUGUUAUAGGAGGGUUGUAGCUCGUUGGUUGUGCGCGAGUGAUUUCAGGAGUUGCUAGCUUUCAGCAUUUUCGAGGUGAGUCUUCUCACUAUACUGUACCCGGAAGGGUUUGAUUGUGUGACCGGAAGGUCGAUUAUGUUAUGUGAUAUGCAUGCUAUAUGUGGUAAGCUAAAUGUUUUAUGGAUACGUAUGCUAUAUGUGGUAAGCUAAGUGUUUUGUGGAUAUGUAUGCUGUAUGUGGUAAGUUAAGUAUUAUAUGUGCUAUGUAUGAUAUGUUAUGGGCCGGAAGGCGAUUAUGUUAUGGGCCGGAAGGCGUUGUACUGAGGACCAGAAGGUCAGGGCCUGGAAAGGCGUAUGUGUGUAAGUGUAUAUUGGGGAACUCACUAAGCAUUUAUGCUUACAGUUGUGGUGUAUGUAUGUAUUUCAGGUACUAGCGAGGACCGUGGGAAGGCGCCGGCAUGAUCGAUACACACUGAAGAUUGUUUUAGGAUCUUGGGAUUUGAAUAAAUGUAUUGACUGAAUAAUUAUACUUUUUAUGCCUUGAUUUUAAUGGAAAAUAUUAUGUUUUAAAAAUGAAAAAUUUGUUUGAAAAAUUUGAGUUGUUACAAUCUGAGAGUAUGGUUCCCUUUGAACCAGCUUCACUUGGGAGCGAAGGAUUGGUGAAAGUUCGUGACAGCGAACUUCACUCUUGCAAAGAUUUCAGCGGUGACCUAGGAGAGGUUCACCACCAUGUUCAGAGACGAGUACGUUCCCCCAAUGGAGAGGGAACGGCUGGUUCAGGAGUUCUUGUCCCUCAAGCAGGAUAAUGAUUCGGUUGCUGUGGUCACCUGGAAGUUUCAUGAUAGGGCGAUGUUCUGCCCUGAGCAGGUGUCUUCUGAGCAGGCACGGAUGAGCCGGUAUUUGGGUAUUCUGAGGAGGGACAUUCGGGAGUUCAUGUCAAACUCGACGUACCGGAUAUUUGCUGAGCUCUAGGUAAAUGCCCGGAAGAGGGAAAUUGAGUUGGAGACUCAGGCCAGGGAGGAGGCCGAGUGCCCUCAGCUACACCAGGGAUCAGCAUAGGGAUCUGCGCCUGAUGCUAGGGUUACCAAGGUUCGACCGGUGAAGGCCGAGGCUCCGAAGGCUCGUGGGAGAGCUUUUCAGUUGACAGCGGAGGAGGUCCGCACGGCGCCCGAUGUUGUGGCUGGUAUGUAUUAUGUAUUUUAUCUUUUGUUUAUGAUAUUGUGCUUAUAUGAUGAUAUGCGUAGGUACUUUUCUUGUGAGUACUAUACCUACUUUGGUAUUAUUUGACUCGGGUGCGAGUCGGUCAUUUGUUUCCUUGACAUUUAGUCAGCACAUUAGUAUACGUCAAGAGGCAUUGAAUCGACCUCUGUGAGUUUCCAUAGCUGAUGAGUGAGCAGUGUAUGCUUCGGAGGUGAUUCAAGGGUGUAUCCUUGAGAUCUUCGGUGUGGAGUUCCUGAUAGAUCUGGUCCCGAUUGCGAUGGGGGGUGUGUGUGUUAUAGUGGGCAUGGAUUGGUUGAGCCGAUUUGGAGCUGUUUUAGACUGUGAGCGUCAGUUGGUGACGAUACGAGACCCUAGUGGCGGAGUGCUUACGGUGUAUGGCGAGGGGACUCGGUGUGGGUUAGCGUUUUGUUCGGCUACCAGGGUGAGACAAAGUUUACAGCAAGGCUGCAGUGAAUUUGUAGCCUAUGUGGUGGACACACGAGUGGCCGCGGGGAGGCCAAGUUCGAUUGAUGAGGUUCCGAUAGUGUGCGAGUUUUCGGAUGUUUUUUCCGAGGAACUACCGGGCGUGCCUUCGUAGAGGCAAGUGGAGGUCCGUAUCGAUUUGGUUCCGGGAGUAGCACCUAUCGCCAAGGCACCUUAUCACCUCGUGCCGCCAGAGAUACAUGAGUUAUCCUCGUAGCUUCAGGAGCUGUUGGGGAAGGGGUUUAUUCGACUGAGUAGCUCACCUUGGGGAGAGUUGAUCCUUUUUGUCAAGAAGAAGGAUGGUUCACACCGGAUGUGUAUUGAUUACCUGGAGUUGAACAAGUUGACGGUCAAGAACCGGUAUCUGUUGCCAAGGAUCGAUGAUCUGUUCGAUCUGUUACAGGGGGCAUCUUGGUUCUCCAAGAUAGACCCGAGGUCGGGUUAUCAUCAGAUGAGGGUUCGGGAUGAAGAUAUCCAGAAGACAGCAUUCAGAACUUGUUAUGGGCAUUACGAUUUUGUGGUGAUGCCUUUUGGGCUCACUAAUGCACCAGCUGCGUUCAUGGAUCUCAUGAACAGGGUGUGCAGGUCAAUGCUGGAUCGGUCGGCGAUCGUAUUCAUUGAUGAUAUUUUGGUAUAUUCGAGGUCCAGAGAACAACAUGAGGAGCAUUUGAGGGAGAUCCUUGGAGUUCUGAGAUCGGAGAGGCUGUAUGCCAAAUUCUCCAAGUGUGAGUUCACGUUACGGGAGGUUCAGUUCUUGGGACAUCUCGUCAAACAAAAUGGGAUAUUGGUCGAUCCGACCAAGAUUGAGGCUGUCAUGAGGUGGGAGGUGCCGAGAUCACCCACCUAGAUCAAGAGCUUUCUGGGAUUGGCUGGCUAUUAUCGGAGAUUUAUUAAGGAUUUCUCCAAGAUUGUUGUGCCACUCACCAAGAUGAUCCGGAAGGGUGUUGCAUUUUCUUGUGGUCCGGAGUAGCAAACCUCAUUUAAGAUACAUCGCCAGAAGUUAUGUGAGGCCCCAGUAUUAGCUCUUCCGAAAGGGAUGGAGGAUUAUGUGGUAUAUUGUGAUGCAUCGAUAUCCGGAUUGGGAGAGGUGCUUAUGUAGAGGGGGCAUGUGAUAGCGUAUGCAUCGAGGCAGCUUAAGCCUCAUGAGUCGAGAUAUCCCACUCAUGAUUUGGAAUUGGGAGCGGUAGUGUUCGCCCUCAAGAUUUGGCGACAUUAUCUGUAUGGGGUUCGGUGUACGAUAUACACGGACCACAAGAGCUUGAAGUAUCUGAUGGAUCAGCCCAACCUGAAUAUGCGCCAGAUGAGGUGGUUGGACGUGGUCAAGGAUUAUAAUUGUGAGAUCCUGUACCACUCGGGCAAGGCUAAUGCUGUAGCCGAUGCUCUGAGCCGAAGGGUGGAGGGCACCCCAUUGUGGGAUGUUUGUUUGAGAUUGACAGUGAUGACCCCGGUGUUGGAUGCUAUCUGUGGGGCCCAGGAUGAGGCCGUGAGGUCAGAAAGCCAGAAGAGAGAGCGAGUUAUCGGGAUGGUAUCAGAAUUCAUUACCGAUAGCCGGGGACUUAUGGUUUUUCAGGGUCGAAUAUGGGUACCGUCCGUGGGCGGAACGCGUACCAUUUUGUUGGAAGAGGCUCAUCGAUCAAAAUUCUCGAUCCAUCCCAAGGCCACUAAGAUGUAUUUGGACCUGAAAAGGAUUAUUGGUGGCCCUGUAUGAAGAGGGAUGUCGCAUGGUUUGUAGAGAGAUGCUUGACCUGUCACAGGGUUAAGGCCGAGCACCAGCGUCCACAUGGUAAGCUGCAGCCAUUAGAGAUUCUCGAGUGGAAAUGGGAACAGAUUACCAUGGAUUUCAUCACCAAAUUGCCAAGGACCGCGAGGGGUGUCGACGCAAUUUGGAUUCGGGACAGGUUGACGAAGACCACUCACUUUCUUGCUAUCAGUGAGAGCUCUUCUGCUGAGAGGUUGGCAGAGUUGUAUGUGAGGGAGGUGGUAUCGCGGCAUGGAGUUCCGAUCUCGAUUGUUUCAGACCGAGAUGUGUGAUUUACUUCCAGAUUCUGGAAGAAGUUUCACGAGGAGUUGGGUACGAGGCUGCAUUUCAGUAACGCAUACCACCCACGGACGGACGGGCAGAGUGAGCGGACGAUUCAGACGCUCGAGGAUAUGCUUCGGGCAUGUGUAUUGGAUUUUGUAAGGAGUUGGGACACGUAUUUGCCUUUGGCGGAGUUUUCUUAUAACAAUAACCAUCAUUCGAGCAUUGGCAUGUCGCCCUUUGAGCUGUUGUAUGGGAGGAGGUGUCGAACCCCCAUUUGCUGGGGAGAAGUAGGGCAGCGUGUAAUGCACAGCACCGAGAUUGUGCUUCAGACGACAGAGCAGAUCCAGCAGGUUAGACAGAGGUUGUUGACCGCUCAGAGUCGGCAGAAGAGUUAUGCGGACAGACGUCGGUCCGAGCUCGAGUUUCAGGUCGGCGACUUCAUGCUCCUAAAGGUCUUUCCUUGGAAAGGAGUGAUUCGAUUCAGGAAGAGAGGCAAGUUGGGGCCCCGAUAUAUUGGUCCUUUUAGGGUGAUCGUGAGGGUGGGUAGGGUAGCCUAUCGUUUGGAGUUGCCAGCAUAGUUGGGUCAUAUUCAUGACACUUUCCACGUAUCGCAGUUGCGGAAGUGUAAAGCCGAUGAGUCGGCAGUGGUUCCAUUAGAAGAUAUUAAGGUAGAUGCGAGCCUGAAUUAUGCUGAGAGACAAGUGGAGAUCAGGGACCUGAAGAUCAAGGUUUUGAGGAACAAAGAAGUGCCACUGGUGCAGGUCCACUGGCAGCAUCGGAAAGGGUCAGAGUUGACAUGGGAACCGGAGCGUGAGAUGCGGGAGUAGCAUCCGGAGUUGUUUGCAGAGUGAGACUUCGGGGGCGAAGUCUGAUUCUAGUGGGGGAUAAUUGUAACACCCAGAUUUCCAGGUAUGAGAUUUUGUUCCUUUUUUGGGUUUUGUAGGGGAACUCGGCGAGUUGGGGUCUUGACUCGCCGAGUAUGGUCGCGGAUUCGUAUGCGAGUUCACAGCUGGACUCGGCGAGUUCAUGAGUGGACUCGGCGAGUCCAUGUUGUUUAAUGAAACCCUAAUUUCCAGGGUUUGAGACCUAUUUAAAGGCCCUUAUGUCCGUCCAUUGCGGCUACCACACCCCAGAGAGAGUCCUAGAUCGCUUGUGAGGUGAAGAGAGGCCAUUGUUGAUCAUUUGUUGGUGAAAUUUGAAGGAGAAGGUGACCAAGGCAAAAGAAGGCUGAAGUAAGUGCAAAUCUAGUGUCUUCAAAGAUCAAAGGCUUCAUAUUAAGGUAUUCCUUCGGACCUUCUCAAGUUUUGGGUGUUGAUUCAUAGAGUUAGGGUUUUUAAACCCUUUAGAAAAAGAAUAUGUAGAGCAUUUAGUCCCCUCUCGAGUUUGUGCUUUGGAUCUGGACUAAAAGAGGUCCAGUAACUUUAUCCCAUGGGGCAUUAUGAGUCAUUUUGGGAUUAUUGGACUUAGGUUGCCAUUUUUGGGACUAAAUCACCAUUGGAUGCCAUUAUGUUGAUAUGUAAGCAUCAAGUUUCGAGCUUUACGUGACUUUCGUGCUUGGGAAGGCUAGAUCUGUGGAUUAGGGGCACAGAUCUGACCCCAGGAGGUCAAUAGAGAUGGUGCAUGGCAUGAACUCGCCGAGUUGUUCUUGAGACUCGGCGAGUAGGGUUAGGGUUUUCACGUGAAUAGCUCUGUGAGUAGAAUUGUCGAGUUGGGGGAUAACUCAGUGAGUCAGAAAGGGAUUAGAGGAUUGGGGUUCAAGGCGGUACUCGCUGAGUUGUUCUUAAGACUUGGCGAGUUGAGUCGGGGUGGCCCCGCGAUUCAUGCCAAGUGUGACUCGUCGAGUAAAGAGAAGGAAUCUACGUGCCAAGAAAGGGACUAAGAGGGUCAAUGGACACGUGUAGACUCGCCAAGUCGCCCAAGUGCACUCGACGCGUCGGGUGAAAGUUUGACAGUUGACUUUUGUUGACUUUAGGGUUUAGUCAACAGUAAGGCCUUUGAGCCUGGAGAGGGGUAAAAUGGUCUUUUACCCUUCAGAGGAUGUUAAGAAAGGUUGGAGUAUAGUUAUAUUUAUGGGAGUAUUUGCUUUAUGUGAUUAGGCGGAGGCUAGAUCACGUUUCUACCGAGACAGAGACUUACCGAGAUAUGAGAGGUGAGUCUUCUCACUAUACUGUACCUGGAAAGGUACCUAUGUGUGAUCGGAAGGUCUUGUAUGCUAUGAGAUGCAUGUUUUGUGUUGCAUGUUUUGUAUGCGUUAUGUAUGUGAUAUGUAUAUUAUAUAUGAUAUGGGCCGGAAGGCAUUAUGACGUCGACCGGAAGGUGAGGGAGUCAUGGACCGGAAGGUCGAUACGAGUAGGACCGGAAGGUCUACUGGGAAUGGGACGGAAGUCCCCUGAGACACAUGGACUGGAAGGUCGUGUUGAGUAUGACCUGGAAAGGCGUAUGUGUGUAAGGGUAUUUUGGGGAACUCACUAAGAAUUUGUGCUUACAGUAGUUGUCUUAUGUGUUUCAGGUACUAGCGAGGACCGUGGAAAGGCGCCGACGUGACUCGUACACACUAAGGAGAGGAUUUGAUUUUUGUGAUCUUGGGAUACGAUAUGUUUUGAUAACUAUUACUGGAUAUUUUAUAAAACAUUUUAUGUGAAAAUGGUUGUGAAAAGAAUGAAAUUUUUGUUUUGAAAUUCACGUUGUUACAACAUACAUUAAAUAGAUAGUAUGACUCCAUGGUUUACCUAUAUUUAUUGUCUCUGAUAGAGAUAGUUGUUUCACCUCACGAUUCAAGAAAUCACUACAACAAUCCCUAGGAACUAAGCUAGACAUUAGUAUAGCCUAUCACCCACAGACCGAUGGGCAAAGCGAGAGAUUUAUCCAAACAUUGGAGGAUAUGUUAAGAGCUUGUGUGAUAGAGUUUGGUAAAACUUGGGAUACCCAUUUACCACUCGUUGAGUUCUCAUGCAACAAUAGCUACCACACUAGCAUCGUAGUUGCUCCAUUCAAAGCCCUCUAUCGCCGCAAGUGCAGAUCACCUCUGUGCUGGGCUGAGGUGGGCGACACACAAUUAGCAAAGGGGAAAGUCCCUGAUAGCACCCACACCGGCCCCGAGAUCAUAAGGGAAACAAAAAAGAAGAGCAUUCAAAUUUAUGAGCGAUUGAAAGCCUUUCGAGACAGACAAAAGAGCUAUGCAGACAAGAGACAAAAACCUUGGAAUUCUAGGUUGGUGAUCGCGUUCUAUUGAAGGUGUCACCCUGGAAGGGCAUGAUAUGUUUCAUUAAAUGUGGAAAACUAAAUCGAAGGUACAUCAGACCGUUUGAUAUUCUUGCUAGAAUCGGUCCAGUAGCUUACAAGCUCAAACUACCACAAGAACUUAACAACGUACAACUUACCUUUCACGUGUCUAACUUAAAGAAGUGCCUAUCUGACGAAACUCUUGUGAUUCCACUUGAUGAAAUCGAGAUAAACAAGAGUCUACACUUCAUAGAGGAACCAGUAGAAAGCAUGGAUAGGGAAAUCAAGAGGAUGAAACAAAGUCGUAUACCAAUAGUAAAGGUUUGCUAGAAUGCUAAACGAGGACCCCAAUUCACUUAGGAACGGGAAGAUCAAAUGAAACAAAAAUACCUGCACCUUUCCCUAGUUCAUGAGUACCACUUUAGAACUAAUUACGGGACGAAAUUCCCUUUAAUGGGGGGAUAAUGUAACAACCUGUUAUUUCAAGUCAAUAAAAGCCAACAAAAAUCUAUAAAAGUCUACCUUGCUAAAUAAAAGUCAAAUUGUUAAUCGUUAAAUUAAUAAGGUUUAAAUAUGAUUUAAUACAUAGAAAUUAUUCUAUUAUAUAAGUUAUAUGUACUUACAUAUUGGAAACCAUGCUUAUAUAAGUUAAAUAUAAGUAAACAUAAGUCAAAAGGUUGAGUUAAAACCAUAAAUUAAUGUAUUACAUAUGUGAUUUCGGUAUUUAGCAUCUUGAAACAAUAUGUUUUUGGUUUUUUGGGGACCAAAUCCAUGUGUGUAUAACUAACACAAUUCAAGGAGUGAAUACUUGGAAAUAAUAAUAAUAAUACUAAAUAAUUAAAUACAAAUAAGUAAAUAAAUAAAUAAACUACACACUCAAAGGGAUUAGGCAGUACAACAUAAUUGUACAAGUGCAAGCUGUAUAAUUAAAAUGCAAGUUGUAAAGUAUAUCUUGCGCAUCAGUUGAACACAUCUCAUGUAACCCUCCUUUAACACAAAUUCACACUCAAAACUUCAUAGAUGCCGACAUACGAGACCAUAUAACAUCGUAACAAUCGACUCCAAGAGUGUUAUCAACUGCCUUCAAACCAUUCAAAGUUCACAUGAACUCUUCUUCUUCUUCUCCUCCGUUUCCUAUCAAACGACCAAACCCAAACAUAAACAUUCGAUUACAAUUUCUGUAGAUUGUUAUAAAAAAGGGAAAAGAAAAAAACCCAGGACUGCUGAAGCAGCCCUGUCCAUGCACCUGGUACCACCAUUGAACCAUCAUCGUGCAUAGCUCCCAUCCACCGCCUCUUCUUCCUAUUUACCGGAGUUACCAAACCCCUUCCAUUGUUGCUCGAGCCCGUUCAUUUCUCGGACAAAGGAGGACCAAAGACUCCUUCCUCGAUCUGAGGCUGCCUGAGACGAAAUAAAACACACCAAGUCGGCCAACUAGAGAUCAACAGCCUCCUCCCUAUCGAUCGUUAAUCACCGUUGAAACCCUUUCAAUUUUCUCCUUCCUUUCAUCCAACCCCUCCUCCGGUUCGGCCAAAGUACCAAGACCCAUUCCCUCGCUUCCUUUCUCCAUUGUUUCCCAUUAACCAUAGACCUCCGAAGGACUCACCUUUUAUGCGUUCCCCCAAAGUCACAGCCGCCUUAGAUGACGACCGCCUCCGUCGCCCUGUUGUUGCCAUCGUUGUGAGCCUUCAUCACCUCUACCCAUUUUAUUCCACCAUCGAAAAUUCCCACGAAGGCCAGGAUACCCGAAAUCAUGAGCUUCGACUCCUCGUAUCCCAUACCUGCAACUCCCGAUUUAGGGCUUGAGACGCGUCUGCAUAUAUCACGAUUGGUAAAUGACAGGAACUAUUUAAACUUUGAUUCCAUUUAUUUAAACUUUGAUUCUAUUUAUUUAAACCGAUUUAGGGCUUGAGGCACGUCUGCAUAUAUCGCGAUUGGUAAAUGACGGGAACUAUUUAAACUUUGAUUUAGGGUUUGAGACGCAUCUGCAUAUAUCGCGAUUGGUAAAUGACAGGAACUAUUUAAAAACAUAUAUAUNAUAUAUAUAUAUAUAUAUAUAUAUAUAUAUUCAAGAAGAGGUAUUUUCCAUCUGCAUACCAUGGGCCUUUGGUGGAGUAGCACGAGGUCGUCUCCUUAUACAUAGCAGAUUCCCAGUGAUCGAAUGUCAUCUUGAGUGUAGUAGAGGUUGGUUCAAGGGCUUGCAAAAAUGAAUUAUGACUAGGUUUCAGUAGCCUUAGGAAGUAUGCUAGGAAAGGCUUUCGAGGUUACCGAGGGAAGAGAGCCUUGUUGCUGAAGUUUUGGUUGGAGCAUCCUUCCUUUGGACUUCGAGAUCUAAGUGUGAUAUCAGUUUAAGCAUCGGGAGUCAUUGAUAUUGUUGGGAUUCAAGAAGUCUUAGCUGGUUUUCAAGAGUUGUGUAGUUUUAGGAAGGGAUACUUAUGGUGCACUAGCUUUGGUAGGCACUGGUCAUCAACAGAUUGAUCAUUGGAAUGUAAGAAGGAUUGGAAAUCCUUUGAUUUUCAUGUGUGGUGCGGACUUAGUUGAAUCUAAGUGGGGGAGAAUCGUUCAGAAAUCCAGGACAAAAGCAAGGGUGAAACUAGGAUGCGUUUCACAUCCCCGUCAUGGAAAAGGAAAGUGGCCCUAGUGGCUGUCCGAAUGUACAAUUCUGUGGGUUGGGAGUUCGGGAAACUUCGCAACAUUUAGGUCGCGUCUUCUUGAUGACAGAUAGCAAGCUUUGGGGGAGGGAACCAGGAUGGGUUCUAGUCAGUACCUGAGUCCAGUUUAGGAUGAUAAACCGCGUGAGCGGUCAAUGUUGAGAUGAGUUCAAAUUGGUAAAUAAGCGAUAGGUCCAUGAACGACAUCCAGAUAGUAAGGCAAGUGAUGUAAGACUGCGGAGGAGCCAUACCAUUCACUAGCAGUUGGAUAGUAAGGGAAGUGAUGUAAGACUGUGGGGGAGCCGUAGCAUUCACUAGCAGUCGGAUAGUAGGGGAAGUGAUGUAAGACUACGGAGGAACCGUAGUUGUAAGUCCCAAAUCUUCUUGUGUAUCAAUCAUAUCCGCUUGAUGGUGCGGAAUCUCAAUCAAGCGGAUGAUGUCAGAUCAAAAUAGAAGAGAAGAAGAAGAAGAAUAAGAUGAAUCUUGUAUGAUUUGAUUAGAAUGAAGUUCCCUUACACAAGAUUCACACACUUAUGCUCCUUUUUCUCUCUACUUGUCGUACGCUCUCUCACCCAUGCACUCCUCACCACUAAUACAAUAUAUAGUGGACAUGGGUCGUGAAUUGGUUUACAGCCAUCAACCAGUUCAUGGCCGUAAACACCCAACUGGGCCGUGAACACAACAACGAACACAUAUUACAUUAUAGAAAAAUACAUUUUCCUAGAAAAGAAAAGUAUAAACCAAUAUUUUAGACCCAACAAUCUCCCCCUUGGUUUAUAGCUUUCUUUUCUAAUUGACCCAACAAACUCCCCCUAAAAAGCAGUUGGCUUUUCUUGUUCCUUCAUUUGGAGCUUGGCUUUAGCGUUUAUCUUUGAUUUCUUCACAGCUUCAAGAUGAACUUGAUGAAUCUUCAAUAAAUGACUUCGUCUUGAGCAGUUGGGAUUUUCUUUAGAAUUUGACAUCGAACGCACAUUUAGUGAGCAAGCUUGAUGUAGAGAUUCUUGAAAGAUAGCGCUUUCAUCUUGAGAAUCUUCAAAGAGAAUAUCACAGAGAACUAAUCUUUUGGAUGACUUCAGCAGCUUCACAGAUAGUAGCUGACUGAUUAAGGAGGCUUCAACGUAAUUUGUCACAUAAUCUUUAAUUGCAGCUUCACCUUGCUUCUGGGGUUGAAAGAUUGAAUGUUGAAAGAGUAGUCUUUAUUUCUUGUUCCUUCGAAUGAGAAUUCUUCGAUAAUCACAGAUGAAUCCUUGGCAUAGAAAAUCUCGAUAGUCUCCAUGUGUCUCAUCUACAUCUGAAUUCACUUUUCAAGACAAAACUAAACUAAAAGAAAAAAACUUAACACACAAUAUUUUUGGAAUUUUCAUUUUUUUGAAAAAUAAAACAGAAAUAACACUAUUUUUUUUUAAUUCUCCCCCUAAAUGUUUGCAUAGAGGAAAACCAUGAUCAAAUUUAAUAAAAAAAAUAUAUGGGAUCAAAGUUGUUAGGCAAUCCAAUAUCGUUUAUCAAUACAUGCAUGCAUGUCUGGAUCUGGUCAAUCACCAGUAUUGUGAUCCACUUAAGCACAAAGGAUGUUGACAAUUUGGACAGAUUAUAAGUGACUAGUCAUUGUGAUCUAUAUUCUUAAAUGGACAUUUAGCUGACGACGACCAAGGAUAUUGUUGUCCACUUAAAUUAAGCAGCAAGAUCUACAAACAACCUAUUAAAUUAUUCAAUUUUAGAUGUACUAGAACGUGUUUCCUACUUCCCGAUAUACCCCAAUAAUCAAGAACUUCCAAAUAACUCCUUACUUUAGGUGAGUAUUCAAUCAUUAAGAAAGAAUUCAUAUAUAGAAGUGCAUAUGUUGUAUCCCAAGUCGGAUGUCUUCCAAUCACACAGAGGGGACAACAUAUGACUAACAUAGAUAGGGGUUAAAGACGUAGUAAAGUGCAUAUGAUGUGUCCCAGGUCGGAUCUUCCAAUCAUGUAAAGGGGACAACAUAUGGCAAAAAGAUAGAAAGAAUUUCAUAGAUAUGGAUAUACAUAGAUAUAGAGCUGCAUAUGUUGCAUUCCAGGUCGGAUAUGUUCCAAUCAUGAAGAGGAAGCAACAUAUGACUGAUAGAUAGAAAGUAAUAAAAUAAUUUCCUACAAACCUAUUUUAUCAGAACCCCCCGGUUUCCCUAUCAAUACUGGACUUAAGGACAUGAGUCCAUACAUCAAGGAAAUGUUGAGCCACAGUUCUAUAUAAUUAACGUUUAGUGUAUCUCGCAGCCUCCCAUGUUUAUCUCACUGCUUAAUCUACCCAAGCGUCGUAUGGUCAGUCCAAAUGAAACUAUCUAAGUCAAUAUUGUCUAGUCCUUUCAUGGGCAAUCAAUGUCUAGUCCUUUUGAAUCCUUUGUGCCUAUCAGCACAUUAAACACAGAGUCUAGGCAAUUCGGAUUUAGUGAAUUACACGCAUUUUAUAUUUCCCUUUAGCACUAGACUUCAUAUCACUUCCCAAACAAUACCUACUAACGAAAAACUAUAAGAAAAUAAAAGAUUAUCUUUAAAACGAAUCAAUGUAAGGAAAACUCAGGAGUAUCGAGAGGAAAAAUCAAACCGUAAUUCACCGAUUGAAUUUGCAUCCAGAAGGUCUAAGAACAACAUGCAUAAUCUCCGAGCAGAUCCAAAAAUUCUUCACAUCAUUAAGCACUAACCCCAUGUGUGAUCCCUUCCUUUCUUCCCUUCCAGCAAAGGACACAUACUCUCAAACAAAGUUUUGAGUGUUGCACAGUUGAAAGAUGUCUCCUGUCAUGUGCCUGGAAUAGCCACUACCAACAAACUGAAGUCUGAUGAUAUGCCUCCAUAGCUGCUCCAGCACAAGGCAAAAUCAGUUGGUCUUUGGAACCCAGUCCAUUUUGAAACUGGGUUGACUGUUACCGUCUAUGCAAGGUACUUUCUCCCAUGACAUGUCCUACUUAUCACAAACAGAAUAUGAACAGAUAUUAGAGUCGUUAGAAGAUUUGGGAGUUUUCACCUUUGGUACCCAUCUUUAUUCGGGUUUAAGCCAUUUAUUAUUCAAUCUGAUGGGUGCCUUGUCUCUUGCUUUUGAAGUUGAAGCUAGCCGUUGAGAGGACUUUGAUUUUGGCUUCACGAAAGCAUCUCUUGGAUUUGGUGUUUUGGCCGACAUUCCCUUCUUGACCUUGGAAUUUAAAUUCUUGCCCUUCGUGGCAUCCCAGUCAUCAUUGUUUGAAAGUGGCCUCGAAGGGUUUCUUUUGGAAAAUCUCCCUAUUGGCGCAUUCUACCAACCUUGUACGUAGUAGGGAACGUAUGCACGAUUUGGACAAAUUUUGUCAAUGUUUCCAGGUGUUCCACAGUGAAAACAUGUCUUCUUUUUCUUUACUAGGAAGUUGUUUCUUCCUGCCCCUGGUGGCAUACCUUUGCCUUGCUUCUGGUUGUUCCCACAUGCACACAUACAGCAAGCUGUCGGUUACACUUGUUUUGGUGGCAUGUAUUUCUCAACAGCAGGUUGAUCAGGAGCAACUGAGUUCAAAGCAACAGAUUUAGAAUUCAAGGAGCCAUUGCUUUGUUCAAUGGUAUUCUCCUUGUUCUCAUCUUCUGCUAAUUUACCUACACAUGAAGUAGAAACAUUAGUAUCUUUCAUCUCAACACCCUUAGUUGGCCUUGAUUGUUCAGUCUUAACUAAAGCUGGAGUAGGGGAUUGGCCAUACUGAAGGUGUGCUUCAUUUGCUAUUUCUUCUUGAGUCAAAGGGGUGAAAGUGUAAGUAUGAUUAAAAGGAGGAGGAACAGUUUCAUACCCCAGACCCUUUUGUUGGUUAUCUUUAAAUUUUAAACAAUUGUCAAUCAUGGACACAACUACCUCAUUUGAUACAUCAAAUUUCUUAAAGUUGAAUUCAACAUCAUUAUAUUUUGCUUUUAAUGCAUCAAGUUUGGCAGUCACAACAUUAAAAUCUUUCUUAAGAUAUUUAUAAUGAACACACUUGUUACUGUAUUAUGCCUGUAAUUUCUUAUAAUCAUUUGUCUUGGCCUCUAGUUGAUCUUACAAUGGUUUCUACAAUUUCCUAAGUUGGUACCCUGUGUAUUUUAGUUCCUCGUUCUCUCUACGUAGUAAUUCGUAAUGCACACAUAAAUUCUUCAAGGAAAUUUCAUUAACUUUGAUUUUUGAAGAACUCAUUGUUUACAACAAAUGCCCUUUGACUUGAAACCUUAAAAGUCAAACCGAAAAACUAAAUUCCAAAAUUUGAAAGUUAAACGAGAAAGUCAAAGUUUAAAGUCAAAUGUCAAACUUGAAAGUCAAAGUCAAAAUUUUAAUUCAAAAGACAAUUUAGAAAGUUAAAAGUUAAAAUCCAAAAAUUUUGGUUGAAAAUGGAAUUUUUAAAAAACAAAAAUUGAAUUUUGGGCUGAAAGUGACAAUAUUUCGAAAUUAAGAACCGAGAAAGGAGUCCUUUUGAAUUAAAUUUGAAAGGAAUGAAGCGUCUGGCAACUUAGAUCAACUGGAAAGAGCGCUUGGCGGAUAAAUCAGGUGACUUGGGUUCGAUCCCAGGCAACCCCAUAUUAUUUUAAUAAGCGCACGCUCCUGCAAGGACUCCUGCUGGCCGAGAACGCGAAGCGAGGACCGUGAACCCAAGGGCCGCAAGCUACUGAGUCAUAAACGUCUGAGAAACCCUAGCCACAAACGCUUCUUUGGCCGAGAACCCUCCUUCGUUCAAGAGCCCUUCAAUGGCCGUAAACCCUUCUUCGGUCAUGAAUCCUUCAACAGUUACGAAAAAAACGACAUUUUUCACCCUUUUUGCUCCAAAACUUGAUCCAAAACUCAUUUUUAUCAAACACACGAAGAAAUAAAACCCCCAUAUUUUUCAAAUAUAUAUCCAAAAACGCAAAAAUCCUUCAAAAAUAAGAUCAAAUAUGCUCCAAAUCUAGACAAAAUGAUUGAUACCAUCCAAGAUUUGAUACCACGUGUAAGUCCUAAAUCUGCUUGUGUAUCAAUCAGAUCCGCUUGAUGGUGUAAAAUCCCAAUCAACCGGAUGAUGCCAAAUCAAAAUAGAAGAGAAUGAGAAGAAAAAUAAUAUGAAUCUUGUAUGAUUUGAUUAGAAUAAAGUUCCCUUACACAAGAUUCACACACUUACACACUUAUGCUCCUUUUUCUCUCUCCUGGUCGUACACUCUCUCACCCAUGCACUCCUCACCACUAAUACAAUAUAUAGUAGACAUGGACCGUGAAUGGGUUUACGGCCGUGAACCAGAUCACGGCCGUAAACACCCACUUGGGUCGUGAACACAACAGCGAACACAUAUUACAUUAUACAAAAAUACAUUUUCCUAGAAAAGUAAAGUAUAAACCAAUAUUUUAGACCCAAUAGUAGAAUUCACUAGCAGGCGGAUAGUAUGGAAAGUGAUGUAAGACAAUGGGGGAGUCGUAGCAUUCACUAGCAUCUGGAUAGUAGGGGAAGUGAUGUAAGACUGCAGGGGAGCCGUAGCAUUCAUUGGCAGUCAAAAAGUGUGGAAAGUGUUGUAAGACUGCGGGGCAGACGUAGCAUUCACUAACAGCCAGAUAGGGUAGGAAGUGUCGUUAGACUGCAAGAUAUUCGUAGCAUUUACGAAUUACUUCAGAUGAUUUACGCUAGCGUAGGCUAGUUCACAAGGUUUUGGGGAGGCCACAUCUUAAUUAGAAUCAGGAGUAGAGGUGAAUCUUCGAUCAGUUAUCUGUAGGUGAGCUCGGAUGGUUAUCGGAAUUCAGGAUGGACUGGUGGAGACUGUUGAGUCAAGGGUUUGGAUCUUGUGUUGCAUGUUCAUGUGGAUAAAUAGUAAGUGACACGGAAGGGCUACGGCUGGGCAGUCCUGAUAUUUGAUCUCUUAGGAACAUGGUGGUUGGACCAUGUGCGAGAUUGGUAGUCUCACAUAUCUGCUAAGGGUAUUUAUUUAGCGGUCAAGUAAGGGAUGUUGGAAGUUAUGGUGCAUUUCGCAGAUGUAGAUUCGUCGAUCUUGAGGUAGGAGUGGAAUAUCGAUUUGUUUUGGGAGAGAUCCACAAUCGGAGUCCGCGCGUGUUCAGUACAGGAUUUUGUUUCAGUAAGAUGAGGUUUGGGGUCUCUAUAUGCCAAGGGAGAAAAUUACGAGGUCCAAGUGUAAUGGGUAAACUUAGUUGAUAGCAACCUGAGUUAUUGUGAUGUGUCCCGGGUUAGCCUUAUCCGUGAAAGUGCCACAGCGUAUUUGAAGUGAGGAGAAGAUGGGUCGAUGGAGAUCUGGCGUGAUGUAAGACUACAGUGGUUCUAGUAGCAGUCACUUUUUGUAUUAGAUUCUGUGGCAUCAAAUCGUCAGGCUAUUGUGAUGUGAUGUAUCAGAAAGACUGAUGGAUCUAUGAGUGGCAAUAUAGCUAAGACAGUUAUCGCUAUACAUAGUCUUUUUCGGAGGUCGCGUGGGUCGAGUGUGAGGUUUCUAGUCGGUCCAGCAACCGGACAUGAAUCGGAUAUUCCAAAUGUAGGUGUUCGGCAUCUGGUUAUGUUAAGUGAAUUCAUUCAGUUGGUAACACUGGGAUAAUCAGGAUCGGAGAGAGUUUGGUGUGGUUGAGUCAUGUUACCUUUAGAAAGGUCAUUAAAUGAUCCGGGAGAUGGUCGUGUCUCUCGUAACGUUGGGUUUCGGUAUUAGUUGGGUUCAGAGUGGUUUUCCAAUCAUUGGUAAGAUUUGGAUACCCAUGAUUUAUCGAUGUUGAAGUACUCUCAGGGCUUCGAAUUGAGGGGUGACACCGAGUUCGGGAAGCAGGGCUGAAGGCUAGGUAUUAUGAUUCGGUCAGAACAUGGCCCGAUUAGGCAAGGCGAUGCAUCGUGUAGCACUGUUUCAGAAGCUCAGACUGAUUCAUAGUACAUACUAUGUAUCAGCCACGAAAGUUUUUGGACGACGACUCCACUGUACCUCCUUAUAGUUGAUAUUCAGGCAAAGGAGCAUAUCAAUCAUGGGAGGAAUUUAGUGCUAGUUAGCGAAUAGAAAAUGCAGGCUAUGAGAGAGUGAGGUAGCAAGAUUAGUGAAGGUGCAAUGGGAAUCUUCAUUCGGGUCAUAGUAGCUAAUGGAAGUCGUGGGUGUGGCUCGUAAGCAACGGCCGGAGGAGGAGAUAAGGAAGCCUUAACCAGACCCUGUGCAUCAGCAGACUUCGAGGAUAAAUUCUAGUACAAGUAUGGGAGAUUUGUAACACUUGGUUUAUAUGUUAUUCGGCUUUCAACAUUUUAGAAUUUUGGGCAAGAAAUCGACGAGUUGGGGAGUUCCAACUCAUUGAGUAGAGAUCAUUUUGGACACAGAAUCAAGGGUCUACUCGAUGAUUUGGGAGGCCCAAACUCGACGAGUAGACACCGGAAAGGAAACCCUAAUUUUCAGGGUUCAUACCCUAUUUAAAGGCCUUAAGCCUCACUUGUAGCCUCCCUUAUCAACCCCUUUGUCCAAAGAAAUAGUAAAUCGUGUCUCAUAUCCCAUUUUGAGUGCGUGAGGGCUUAAGGGGUGCUUUUUUGGUGUUUAUGUGAAGAAGCUUGAAGUGGUUGGUGCAUAGCAGAAAGGAGAGGCUGUAGAUCCAGUGUUUAUUUUGUUGUUGCAACCAUUUUAAGGUAUAAAGUCGAAACCUUGACCUUCCAUUGCUUAGAUCUUCUUCUAUGAAAGUUUAUGGCCAUUAUUAGCAUAGUUUGGUACCAUUCUUGUUUUUAAGCAUGAUAUGAAGAUAUGGCUUUAGAUCUGGACAUCUCAGGGCCUUUGGAGACUUAAAGUUGACAACUUUAUCAAGUAUUGGCCCUCCUUCAUGCUCUAAGUCCCUUGACAAGCUUUGAUGUAGUGUUUUUAGCCACUAAUGCCUUGCGUGGAUGUAAAGUUAGCAACUUUACGUGGUAUCUUAACCCUAGGGGGUUGGAUCCGUAGUUUGGGGCUUUAGAUUUGACUAGAAAGGGGCUAAAUACGUUGAGACAGGUGAAACUCGACGAGUUGCCCUGGCAACUCGACAAUUUGGGUUGGCUUUUCUCACUUUCUGGAUGUUGCACAAACUCUACAAGCCGAUGAGAUAACUCGGUGAGUUGGCUAGGGUUUUUCCCGGUUUUCUAAACAUUGAAGGAACUCGACGAGUUGCGAGAUGCACUCGAAGAGUUGGGCCAACAUGGAUUGUUGACCAUGACUGUUGACUUUGACUUUGACCUUUGACUUUCGACAAGUUAGUCCCAAGGGGUGCUUGGAGUAAAUCAAAUUAUAAUGAAGGAUAUUAUGGGAUUAGAGUAAGGCCCGUAAGGGAUUGGGGCCCAGUUUGGAAAAUUGGGUUAUUGAUGGAUUUAUGGACAUUAUAGUGUUGGGCUUUUGUUUUGGGCUUUGGCCUCAUUUUUGGAUCAAACUGGGCCAGGGGUAGAUUAGUCAUUUUACCCCAUGUAUGGAUUAAGGAUUAUAGUAUGGAAUUCAAUUGCUAAUUGGGUAUACUGAUUGGUAUUGAUAGCUCGGGAGGUCGGCGGGGCAUCAACUAAGGAUGUCAUUCGGGAAGCUUUUGUAUUCGAGGUGAGUCUCCUCACCAUACCAAUGGGUCGAAGGCACCAAGUCCGGCCCAUUUGUGAUAUGUGAUACACUAGUGAUGUAUUGAAAAACUUUUCCUUACAACUAAAAUUCAAAUGAAAACUAUGGUAUUAUAAAUUCCUAAGCAAUCUAUAAUAACUCCAAGCAGCAGCUCAAAAAUCCGAUCAUCGAAUCAUGUGAUCAAAAUCCAUUUCUUCGCGAUCAGACUCAACUCACUUCUUCCUUUAAGUUUCCUUUCUUUUCUUCGAUCCUACAACACAUCAAAAUGCAAUCUUAUCACAUCAUGUAUUAAGAAUCUCCAAAUAGGAACUUAAUAGAGUUAGAUAGUGAAUUUACCUAAAGUAGAGUCAUACAUCUUAACUCUCCCAUCCUCUUGAUCCUUCAGGUAGGUGCGGCAGCUUCGCAACCAAUGCCCUUUCUCCUGGAAAUUGAAACAAGUGGAGAAAACUUUUCUGGACUUCCAAUGUGGCCAUUGUCCAUGGAAGUAUAGGAGGUUGAUCUACCAGACAAAUUUGCUUGACCAGUGUGCCAAAUCAUUUCUGAUUCAACAGCAAUAAGCAAAUAGGUAUGAUCAAUGACGGUCACGUCAUGGCCCAUCAUAUAGUACCUCUCUUAUGCACUCACUAUAUGAGUCAGGAAGUGAUUGAAGAACCCAGUCAACAGCUAACUUCAUUGAGACUUCGACACCCAACAUUCCCAAUUUUUCAAUAUGAAACUUCAUAUCCAAGACAUGCGCACAUACAGACUUUCCAUUUUCAUGUUUACAUGCCAAUAGGGCUUGAGUGAUCUUGAACUUUUCAAGUCUUCGAACACGUGGGUUAGGGAGAAUUAUUGGAGGAUGUGGAGGAAGUCAAGUUCCACUUAACAUGGGUUUGAUCUUUCACCUUGAUCGUUACGUGGACUUCCACUUUAAUGAGGAAAACUUUUUCCAAAGGAUUUGGGAAGACCAUAGUUGUCAUAACUAGACAUCUACAAGGGCAGAAAAUUCAAGUUAGUUGAUUGAGUCCUUAAUAAAACACCCAUAUGAGAUAUUAAGUCUAGGACCCAAUACAAUAUUCUACAACGUGGAAAUUGCAGAAUAUUCGAAGGUAGGUAAAUGACGAUUUAUCAAUUUCCACCAUGAAAAACGAAAAUUGAAAAUUAGGUUUUAAAUGAAUUGAAACUCUUAAAUCUUUUGAGAUUCAUUGAACUUUUCAAUGGCAUGUUUAAAUCUCAAUUAUUCCCUUCAAGUUUGAGACUGGGAUGCCAAGGAUCACAAACAAGUUGUGGAUAACCAUGCAAAUAUACUUAGUACCCUCAAUGUCACUAUCACCUAAUCAAUGUGUCGGUUAGCCACACACGCUCCAUUGAUCUAUGACAAACAUCGAGUCGCCCUUUGCCACUCUUGCCAGUCCUAAAUUAGUGUGCCGGUUAACCACACACACUCCACUAACGUCUUGGCAAUGUGCAAAGUGUAAUUUCAUGGAAUAACACCAAUUCCACAUUUUUCCUAAAGUAACUAAGAUUUGGGAAUUUAUAAAAGUGUUUAGUUACUUCAUAUUUUAUUAUACUUAUAAUGGAAGGUUUUGUCCUAUCCUACCCAUUCGGCUAAUGACCCUCCACCAGCCAAGAGUGCGGUGGGUAAAAGUGGAUACCUAAUGGCGGUCAUUUUACAGGCCGCUUCCUUAAACAUCCCUUAUAGACCAGCUUCAUGAAUAAGGCCUAAUAACGGUAAGACUGACUCUUUACUCAUACAUAUAUAAUAUUAGACUUUUAAGUUUAUAUAGUAUAAGGGUGUAGUUUAAACAUUUCAAAAUACUAGGGUUUUUAAUCAAAUUUAAAAUUUUCGAAAAAAUAAUACUUUUUAAUUUUAAAAUCUUAAAUAUUAAAAUUUUGUUUUAAUAAUUAUCCAAAGUUAAAAAAUUAAUUUAAAUUAUUAAAUCUUAAAGGAUUAUCCAUUAAAUUAAAUAAUUAAUUUAACCUAAUCCCUUUAUCUCCUAGAUUUCCAAAAUUUCGGAAGGGAUAUUUCAAAAUCUUUAAUUAUCUAUUUAAAAAAUAAUAAGAUAAUUACCAAAUAAUAACAUUAUUCUAAUCCUUAAAAUUUUGAAAUCCAAUCUUGGGGAGGAAGGUAUUUUCGAAAACCCUAGGUUUUACCAACCCUAAAAUCGAAAAUAUGGGGCCAAAGGACAAGGGUUCAAGAAACCCUAACAAAUUUCAAAAACUAGGGUUUUGAAACCGUAAUUUCGAAAAUCCAAGCCCUAGGGUUUAUUUUCUAUAAACCCUAAUUUGUCAAAUUCAUACUUUUUGUAUCAAAUCUAAUUGAAAACAACAACCAAAAGCUCUGAUACCACUGUUGGGUUUUAUACCUAGCAAACAAUCCAAUGUGUGCAUGCAACCCUAAUUUGUGGAUCUAUGUUUUCACUAUUAGACAUACAAGCAUUUACACACAAAAACUAGAAACCUUAGGAGGCAUAUGUAAUUUUCAAAAUUAUCAUAUAAUUAGGGUUAGGAUACAUACCUUUAUUGUUAUAUUGUAAUAAGAAUCAAGUCCUUGAAGAUCUUAAACUUUGGUAGCAAGCGCCACAAGUGUCGCGCCUCUAAUGGCUCACAAACAAACCUAGCAACCAGGGAUUACUAUGGAGAGAGAGAACGGAAGUGAAAAUUCAGCUCUAAGCCUAUCCUAGAGUGCAUGGGACGAAAUCCAACCCUAUAGGGGUUUAUAUAGGUCAUAAGGAAGGUUUAGGAUAAGGCAGGUGCAUCUUAGAUAACCCUAAUCCCUUAACUUCCUCCCUAAGGCUUCCAAUGUACCCUUAAAGCCCAAGGAAACCCUAGGACACUCUAGAUUUCAUUCCCCGCCUCUAUGGGAGGUUCUAGAAUGCUCAAUGCUCAACUUUUGAACAUUGUCACUUUCAGUCCCUGCAGUUUCAAUUAAUUCCUUUGAUCCUAAAAUUAAUUCAAAAUUAAUUUCUAAUUAAAUAUUAAUUAAACAAUAUGAUUUCUAAUUAAUAUAUUAUAUCCAUAAUACAUUAAUAAAUCGUUUAUCGGGAUUUCAAAUUAAUUUAUUAACUAAGUAAUAAAUUAAUAAAUCAUUUUUCUCUCUCCAACAGUUUCCUAUUCAAUUGCCAGGUUUGAAGGCAACCUAAAAGGACAUUGCUACUAUCAAUUCAAGUACAUAUCAAUUAUAUUUAUGGGCUUAGACACCUAAUCCAACACUUCAAUUGUCUGAUAUAUGACAUGUUUCACCCCACGCAUGUUUGCCUAACUGUAACUAGCAGUUUAGAUGUGGGAUUGUCAGUCCCGAAUAGAUCUAUUCACAAAUCGCACGCUCUCCCUCCAUGAGACACUGGUUAUACUAUGAUAGGAUUUAACAUGUACCCCGAAAGGUACAACUGAAGAGAUGUCUCGCAAUCCUGUAGAAACUAGUUUACGUGUGGUUCUAAAUUGUUCUCUUGUAUUUGCAUCCAUUUGUAUACUUGUAAUGUAACAAUAAUUAUACAUAAAUAAUUAUCUAAUGUUGUACCCUUGAAAUACGAAAGUAGUAAUAUAUGUCAUAAACUAAACCCGUCAUAGUUUAUAUGUUUGUUAUUGUAAAACCUCUAAAAUUGUAAAAUUGUGUAUCAAAAUCCCAAACUAUACCUAUUAUAGUUUGCAUGUAUAUUGUGUACUUGAUUCGUGUAUUGAUCUGAAAACUAUGCGAUUAUGGCUAUACUUUAAAAAGGUCCCUUAUACUCAUCAUGUUACAAAAGGGAUAAAAUAUCUAAAUAUUUUAUCAAACAUGUAAAUCUUUUGGUUGUAUCAAUUGCAUAAGUUUUAAAUCUGUUGAACUUCUUUUGUAUAAGUUCACAAAAAUCAUUUGUGUUUUGCGUGUAUUCCCCCUUCCCCCUGAAAAUGUUAAAAAUAGUAAAAGCAUAGGGGUAUGAACUCACCGUUGGUUGUGUGAAAUGUCAAACAAUAAAACUGGAAAUGAAGACCUUCGGGUUGAUGUACGCGGCACUCAACGGGAUCCUAAUCAACAAUUAAUUACAUAAUUGUAUUUUAUUAGCGAAACCAUUUAUUAUGGUGUUGUAAAACACUUGUAUUGGUUUAGGAAUGUUACCGAAACUCGAUCGAGGUGGAAAAGUGGGUUCGCGGCCAAGAUUCACGAUGUGAAGGAGUUUGCGGCCGUGAAGGAAGACUUACGGCCAUGGUCUGCUUACGGUCGUGAACAGCCUCUUGAAGGGUUUACGGCCAUGAACUGUAUGCGGUCUUUGAAGAUUUGAAUAUUUGAAGGGUGUACGGCCGUAAACACAAGAGCAAUGAUGUUGGAUUCGGUGAAAAUGCAUUUUAAAUGCUCCAAAACAACCUCCAAAUGUGAUUUCUUGAUGAUUUUCGGAAGAAAUGAGGGUGUUUUGGUGUUUACGGCCGAGAGGUGGAAAGAGAGAAUGAGAGAGUUUUUGGCCAAGAAGUUUCAAAUGAAGGUGGGGGUCCCAUAUAUAUAGACUUUGGGUAUGGUCGGUGGCAGGGGCCACCUGGAACCGGCCGAAAAUGGGUUUACGACCGUAAAUGGGUUUACAGUCGUCAACUCCAGUCAGGUCGUGAACUGGUGAUUUGUUAGAAGGAAAACUCGAAAUUUCGCAUGGUUUUGGUCCCGAAUCUUAUAUAAAGUUCAAUCAUAUUACUAAAUGAUUUUUCCAAACCAAAGAAAUCUGACGGAAGUCAAUAAAAUUCAUAUUUUGUUAACGGAAAUCGGCUAGUGGUAACGGAAAAAGGUUCAGGUUGUCACAUCAUCCGCCCGUUAGAGGGAAUUUCGUCCCGAAAUUCAAAUGUAGAAUACAAAUCAUGGACUUGGAAAAAGAUGAGGAUGUUUCUUUUUCAUUUGAUCUCCGCGCUCCCAAGUGAAUUCAGGUCCCCGUUUGGAAUUUAAACGGACCUUCACUAUCGGUAUGCGACUUUGUUUCAUUCGUUUGAUUUCCCGGUCAUUGAUUUUGAUUGGUUAUUCCACAAAGUUAAGAUUUUCGUUGAUCUCGAUCUCAUCAAGAGGGAUCAUAAGGGUUUCAUCGGAUAAACACUUUUUAAGAAUCGAGAUGUGGAAGACGGGAUGAAUGUUGCUAAGUUCCUGGGGUAGAUGAAGUUUGUAUGCUACGAUACCAAUCCUAGCAAGGAUCUCAAAUGGUCCUAUGUAUCUUUGAUUCAGCUUUCCAUGUUUUCCAAAGCGUAUCAUGCCUUUCUAGGGUGAGACCUUGAAUAGAACACAGUCGCCAACCUGGAACUCCAAGGGUUUUCGUCUCUUAUCAUCGUAGCUCUUUUGUCUAUCUCUUGAAGAAUUUAGUUGUUCGCGGAUUUGUAUGAUCUUUUCUGUGGUUUCAUGGAUGAUUUUUGGGCCUGUGAGAGUGCUGACUUGCCCCUUGGUUAGCUGCGUGUCGCCCACCUCUGCCCAUCAUAGAGGGGAUCUACACUUAUGGCCAUAAAGGAGUUCAAACGGCGUAGCCUUGAUACUAAUGUGAUAGCUUUUGUUGUAGGAGAACUCAACCAAGGGCAAAUGGGUGUCCCAUAACUUGCCAAAGUCUAUGACACAUGCUCUCAACAUGUCGUCCAAUGUUUGAAUGGUUCUCUCACUCUAACCAUCUGUUUGUGGAUUGUACGUUGUGCUCAUAUCCAGCUUAGUUACAAUCACCUUCUGUAGUCACUGCCAAAAUCUCGAGGUGAAUCUGCUAUCCCGAUCGGAGAUAAUGGACACAGGCACACCAUGCAGAUGAACUAUCUCUUGAAUGUAGAUUCGAGUAAGUCUUUACAUCUUGAAUGUUUCUUUGAUUGGCAGGAAAUGGGCGGAUUUGGUCAAUCGGUCUACAAUUACCCAUAUGGUAUCUUACCCACUCGGAGAUUUGGGUAAUUUAGUGAUGAAAUCCAUCAACAUCAUUUCCCACUUCCAAUCAGGUAUUUCUGGCUGCUGAAGUAGACCUGAGGUCUUCUGAUAUUCAACCUUCACCUUGGCGCAAGUCAGAUACUUGCCCAUGAAGGUAGAGAUCUAUGCUUUUAUAUUUGGCCACCAAUAUAACUUUUUGAGAUCCAGGUACAUCUUAUCCGAACCUGGGUGAACAGAGUAUCGAGUCUUAUGGGCUUCGCUCAUGACAAUUUCUCUGUAGCCACCAAAAUUUGGGGUCUAGAUCCGGUUCAAGAAAUAAUAUACUUCAUCUCCCUUGAUCUUCAGGUUCUUUUCCAUUCCCCUCAAGGAUUCAUCUGACAUGUUCUCUGGUUUUAAGGCUUCCAGUUGAGCCUCUCUAAUUUAAGUGGACAAUCGAGAAUGGAUGUUCAUUGUUAGUGCCUUCACUCUAUAACCUGAAUACUCUUUCCAACUGAGGGCAUCCGCUACCACAUUGGCCUUGCCGGGAUGGUAGCGUAUUUCACACUCAUAAUCACUGAGUAGCUCUACCCACCGUCGUUGCCUCAUGUUCAAUUUUUUUUAUCAAAGAUAUUUUGUAGGAUCUUAUGGUCAGUGAAGACACUACAUUUGGUUCCAUAGAGAUAAUGCCACAAAAUCUUUAACGCAAAGACCACUGCUCCCAACUCCAAAUUGUGAGUUGUAUAGUUGACCUCGUGUGUUUUCAGCUGUCUCCAGGCAUAUGCAAUAGCCUUUCCUUGCUGCAUGAGCAUACAGCCUAGGCCCUGAUUGGAUUCAUCAUAGUAGACUACGAAGUCCUCCGUCCCUUCAGGCAGAGAUAAGAUAGGUGCGCUGCAUAGGGCCUUCUUUAAUGUUUGAAACGUAAUGUCUUGAUUUUCUCCCCAACUAAAGGGUAAACCUUUCUGAUUUAGGGAGGUUAGAGGCUUAGCAAUUCUAGAGAAAUUUUGGAUAAACCUGCGAUAAUAGCCAACGAGGCCCAAGAAUUGAUGGAUUUCUGUGGGCGUCUUCGGUGCCUACCAAUUCUCUAUCGGUCUGAUCUUGGAAGGGUCCAUGUGUAUGCCUUCCUUGCUAACCACGUGACCAAGGAAAUUUACCUUUCUGAUCUAGAAUUUGCACUUUGAAAACUAUACAUAAAGCUUUUCCACCCUUAGGGUUUCCAGCAGUAGCCUCAAGUGUUGUCUAUGGUCUUCUUCUCUUUAGGAAUAGACAAGUAUAUCAUCAAUGAACACUAUCACGAACUUGUGUAGGAAAGGGCGGCACACCCGAUUCAUCAGAUUCAUGAAUAUUGUCGGUGCAUUGGUUAGACCAAAGGGCAUCACUACAAACUCAUAGUGACCAUAUCGAGUCUGAACUGUUGUCUUAGGAACAUCAUCCUCAUGGACUCGUAGCUGGUGGUACCCUGAUCUUAGGUCUAGCUUUGAGAAGUAACUGGCUCCCUGAAGUUGAUUGAAGAGGUCAUCGAUUCUGGGAAGAGGAUAACGGUUUUUUAUAGUAAGCUUGUUCAAUUCGCGAUAAUCAAUACACAUUCGGAAAGAUCCAUCCUUCUUUUUCACAAAUAAGAUCGGGGCUCCCCAAGGUGAGGAACUCGAUCUGAUGAAUCCAUUGCUAAGUAGCUCAUUGAGUUGGUUGGACAACUCUUGCAUUUCUGCUGGCACUGGAUGGUAUGGGGAUUCAACUACGGGGGUAGCUCCGAGGAUUAAGUCGAUUCGGAACUCGAAUUAGCCCUCGGGAGGGAUUCCAGGAAGAUCUUCAGGGAAGACAUCCGAAAACUUGUAGACUUCGGGGAUGCUCUCAAGAUAUUUAAAUUCUUGCUUCUCGUUAACGACAUGGGCUAGGAAUGCAUGGCACUCCUUUCGCAUAUAUUUUUAAGCUUUGAUGCAUGAAAUGAUAUGGAGGUUUGAGCUGAGUUUAUCACCAUAAAUAAUGAGGGCUUCGCGAAUGGUUUUUUCAUAAAAAAGGAUAUCAACAUGAUUGGGGCUCAACCAAUCCAUACCAAUGAUGACAUCGAGGCUUUUUAUGGAAACCGGCAUAAGGUCGAUUGGAAAGGAAUGUUCGUUUAGGGUAAGGGUUCAACAGAUGAAUAUGUCGUUAGUGCUCUCUUUCUUUAUGUUCGUUAUCUUAAUGGUGAAUGUUUCAAUUAAAGGUUGGGAUUUAUGCUUGAGAAAAUGCUUGAAUGCAUGACUAACAAAACUUCUCUCAGCACCAGAAUCAAAAGGAAUGCAUUCAUAAGAGUUGUCGAGCAGGAACGUACCCGUAAAAACGGUGGGAUCAGCAACGGCCUCCUCCUGGCCCAUCAUCACUCUCCCUGUGUUGCCAGAUGGUGCUUCUUUAGGAGAAUUCCUCUUGAAGUGACCGACCUCCCCAUAGCCGUAACAGGCUUGACCAAUUCCCGCUCCAUGAACCUGAUUGGUUGGUUGGGCUGGUGACUUGCAAAAUCGAGCAGUGUGUUCCUCCUUGCCACAGUUGUUGCACAGCAUUUCAUGGCAUGGCCCGUGAUGAUGAUAGUGACACUUGUCACACCGAGGAAGGGUACCAGCAUAUCUACUGGUAGGUGCUUGAGCUACAGGAACAACGAUAGGAGUGGUAGCAUCAAGAACUGCCACUACUUGUUGUUUCUUGGAGGGCUCCUGCGAAGACUGGUCCUUUCGCUUGUUCUAAAACUUUUUCUUCCCACCACUCGCCUUCUGUGGUUCGGGAACGGUUGCCACUACAUUAAGAUUAACCCCAUGGUCUAUGAGGGUCUACGCCAGGAACUUGUCACUGUCGAAUGUGAUUGGUUUAGCAGCUAAAACAGUUCAUUAAGUUAGGGGCAUCAAUCCCCAAAUGUACCUCUCUAUCUUCUUGCUUUCUGGGGUGACCAUUCCCGGACAGAGAAGAGCCAGAUCGCAGAAUCUAGUUGUAUAGGUGGAAAUGUCGGAACCCUUCAUCUUCAGGUUCCAAAGCUCAUGCUCCAACUAUUGCAUCUCGCCCCUUGGGCAGUACUCAGCAAGCAUGAGUUCUUUUAAACUGUCCCAACCCAUGGCAUUUUCCACUGGUAGAGGUAGGUAUUUGACCCGGCUAUUCCACCAAGUCAAUGCUCUAUCGGUGAAGGUGCAGGCGGAUAACUUCACCUUGUUGGCCUCAGAACAAGCACAAAUAUCGAAAAUUGAUUCAAUCUUCUCAAACCAUCGGGUUAGGGCAAUGACACCUCCAUUGCCAUCGAAGGAUUUAGGCUUUGCGUUCAUGAAAUCUUUGUAGGAACACUCCUUCUGGUGUCCCUGGCCACCAUCAAGAUUAUGGGGAUGGGUACCACUUCCCGACCCGCUAGAGCCACCAGAAUUGAUCUGCGACAUUGCGGCAGCCACAGCGGCCGUGACUGCUGCUUGGAACAUGGCCGGGUUGAACUGAAGAGGUGGUGGCGUUGGAUCCGUCAGGGGAUUGUUGUUCUUUCUAUUGGGUAUUUUCUUCAGAAGCAUCUGGAUCUAAAAAUAAGCAGGAAGAAGAGGAUGGUAAGUCCCUUAGAUUUUUUAAUCAAGAGAUAUGAAACAAGAUAUAUCCCAGUCUGAUAGAUACAAUGUUCUACUAAGCGAUAAACAGAGAAAAGUUACCAAUACAAGUAAACUAUCGCUAUGAACAAAUGAGUAGCAACACUUGGAAUGAAUCUCUACACUGUAUUCGGCUCUAGCUAAAAUACUCCUAUCGUAUUUUAAGUCGUAUGCUUUUUUCUAUCGAUAUCUUGUUGUAUAUAGCUUGGUAAGUUUUAGGCCUGCUGCAACCCCAAAGUCACUCCCAAACACAUGUUGGUCAUGUCUCAAAUAAAUAUAGUUGAUCAGCCUAUACUGACCUCAGACAUGAUUACAUAACUAUUCAGGUUUAACCGCAGUGUCCAACAUCCAAAUACUUUUGUUUUAUUCUACUCGUGAUAAUGUUUCUGGAAUGUAUGUAUACUUGUAUACUUCUUGUAAAAUACUUAUAUUUUAAAGUAUACUUUUAGUUUCAGAGCACUCCGGCCCCUUUAGUGUUUAUAGUUUCAUACCAUAUAAGGUUCGCUAUACUUAGUUCACUAUAAACAAUAGCUUUGAUACCAAUCUAUCACACCCCCAAACCGGAACGGCGGAAAUGUUAGGGGUGGAGGAUGUCAUUUGUAGUAUCACAACAAUUGCAUCAUAGUAAUCAAAGUAAACACAACCAUUACAUUGAAUAUAUAUAUAUAUAUAUAUAUAUAUAUAUAUAUANNNNNNNNNNNNNAUAUAAAGGUAUUUACAACUGUUCGAUUCAUAUUUAUAUACAUCAAAAGUAGCAAAAUAAAGACGAGACUCUAUAUGCUCCGUCUUCUCAAAAGUCUGCCGAGGUACCAGUCUACUGAUUUCCUAAGAAUACAUGCAAUUUUCUAAAGAGUAUUAGCAUAAAGCUGGUGAGUUCAUAAGAAUGUUUUUGUAGUGAGAAACCAGUCAUUGAAUUCUGUAAAAUGUAUGCAUGUCUCCCAAGAAAAUCCAAUAUUUUCUUACAUGUAUGUUCGUUACUGUAUUUUGUUCAAAUACCUUGAUUAACACUUGUAUGUAUAGUAUGUUUUAUUUGGAAACCUUGGCGACCACCAGUAUGUAUAGUACGUUCUGUUUGAAAACCCUAGCUACCACCGAUAUGUAUAGUAUGUUUUGUUUUAAAACCCUGGCUACCACCAGUAUGUAUAGUAAUUUUAUUAUUUAAAAUAAAACCAUGUAUUGUAUCCCUGGAAUCCUCCAGUGUAAUGUAUAGUAGUUCUAUUAGUUAAAAUAAAGAGUAAAUUACACGAAUGGUCCCUAUGGUUUCGGGUAAUUUGCGUGUUUGGUCCCUAACUUAUUUUUUUAACUUGGAAAGUCCCUACUGUUUGUUUUUGUUAUGCGCUUGGUCCCUACUAUUUGUUUUUGUUACGCGUUUAGUCCCUGUCUUACAUAAAAAUACUAUUAUUUAUAUAGGAAAAAAUGGUGGGUAGGUAAGGUAAGGUGAGGGGGUGGGGUUGGGGGUGUGUUUAUUUAAAUAAAUUAAAAAAUCAAGGGCAAAAUAGUUUUCUUAGAUAAGAUAGGGACCAAACGCGUAACAAAAACAAACAGUAGGGACCUUCCGAGUUAAAAAAAUAAGUUAGGGACCAAACACGUAAAUUAUCCUAAACCAUAGGGACCAUUCGUGUAAUUUACUCUAAAAUAAAACUAAUGAAGAAUGAAAUCCCAUAAACAAAGGUUAGUUUAUACUAUUGUGAAUCGUAUAACCAUGCUUCAUAUGACAUAGUGACCUUUACGGCGUUCUUCAAGUUUCGGAUAUAUGACAUUUGUCACCCCAUGCAUGCCUGCCUAACUGUAGCUAGCAGUUCAGGUGUGGGAUUGUCAGUCCCAAAUAGAUUUAUUCACAAAUCUCACAGUCUCCCUCCAGGAGACUCUGGUUAUACUAUGAUUGGAUUUAACCUGUACCCAGAAAGGUACAACUGAAGAGAUAUCUCACAAUCCUGUAUAAAUUAGUUUAUGUGUGGUUCUGAAUUGUUCUCUUGAAAUCCAAAAGUAGUAAUGUAUGUCAUAAACUAAACCUAUCAUAGUUUAUAUGUUUAUUAUUGUAAAAGCUCUGAAAUUGUAAAAUUGUGUAUCAAAAUCUUAAACUAUACAUAUUAUAGUUUGCAUGUAUAUUGUGUACUUGAUUCAUGUAUUGAUCUAAAAACGAUGCAAUUAUGGCUGUACUUUGAAAACAUCCCUUAUGCUCGGAAUGUUACAAAAGGGAUAAAAUUUCUAAAUAUUUUAUCAAACAUGUAAAUCUUUUGGUUGUAUCAAUUGCAUAAGUUUUAAACCUGUUGAACCUCAUUUGUAUAAGUUCAUAAAAAUCAUUUGUGUUUGGCUUGUAUUCUCCCCCCCCCCCCCCCNGACCCUCCUGAAAACGUUAAAAAUAGUAAACGCAUAGAGGUAUGAACUCACCGUUGGUUGCGUGGAAUGUCAAACAAUGAAACUGGAAAUGAAGAUCCUCGGGUUGAUGUACGCGGCACUCAACAGGAUCCUAAUCAACAAUUAAUUACAUAAUUUUAUUUUAUUAGCAAAACCAUUUAUUAUAGUGUUGGAAAACACUUGUUAUUGGUUUAGGAAUGUUACCAAGAUUCGAUCGAGGUGGAAAAGUGGGUUCGCGGCCAAGAUUCACGGUGUGAAGGAGUUUGCGGCCGUGAAGGAGGGCUUACGGUCGUGAUCUGUUUAUGGUUAUGAAUAGCCUCUUGAAGGUUUUACGGUCAUGAACUGUUCGCGGUCUUUGAAGAUUUAAAGAUUUGAAGGGUAUACAGUCGUAAACUCAAGAACAAUGAUGUUGGAUUCAGUGAAAACGCGUUUUAGAUGCUCCAAAACAACCUCAAAGGUGAUUUCUUGAUCAUUUUCCGAAGAAAUGAGGGUGUUUUGGGGUUUACGGUCGAGAGUUAGAGAGAGAGAGAGAAUGAGAGAGUUUUCAGCCAAGAAGGUUCAAAUGAAGAUGGGGUCCUGUAUAUAUAGACUGGGGGUAUGGUCGGUGGUGGGGGCCACCUGGCACCGCCGGAAAAUGGGUUUACGGUCGUGAACUAGUGUUUUGUUCGAAGGAAAACUCGAAAUUUCGCGUGGUUUUGGUCCCGACUCUUAUAUAAUGUUCAAUCAUAUAACUAAAUGAUUUUUCCAAACCAAAGAAAUCUGACACAACACAAUAAAAUUCAAAUUUUAUUAACGGAAAUCGGCUAGUGGUAAUGGAAAAAGGUUUGGGUUGUCACUCAAGAUGAAAGAAUUUUGUCUCAUCACCAGUUUCCGGUUUUUUUGACUAUUUUCCUGCUUCUGCAUCCGGAGUCACCUUCCAUUCCCGUGCCUUUACUAUGGUCCCGAUGAAUGUCUCGGUCAAAUUAGACCAUGUUAUGAAGGUGUUUAAAAAUUCACUUAACGAGUUAUUGGAUGAGGAUGCAGUCUGUGUAUGUCUUUUAUACCUGUUAGAAAAGGGUAUUAAUGGGCAGUUGGCUAAACAUCCUGUUAUAGAAGAGUAUUUUAUUUUGUUAUCCAACAUUGAUGAAUUCAACAGGUAUCAUGUCAUCUAUUUUAUAAUUACCGAUUAAUUAAAUUACCUAUCGUUACUAAUAUUUUUUAGAAAUUAAAUUGCUAACUAAUUUUUUAUGUGACAGAUAUCCAUGGGAGGAUAAUUUGGGAUCAAUUGUACAAAUAACUACAUAUUGUCUUCAAUAAAGUUGAGACGCUUAUACAUUUUGAAGAACCGAAAGAGAACGAACUCAAAAAUUGACCUACACCUUACAGAGGUUUUUAUAUGCUUUUAAGGUAAGUAUAUAAUGAAAAUUUUAUUAUUUAUUUUUGUUUGCUAACAUUCAGAUAUGGAUUUUUGAGAGUUUUCCGGUGAGCAGAUUAUUUGGUACUCGACAACAGAAUGUAAUCCCUCGGGCUGUUGCAUGGUCAAAACUUACGUCGUUACAAAAGACUCACUGCAACUAGUUUUUACUAAUAGACGACGUAUGGUUACAUUAUUAUUUAAAUAUUUAUUUAGUUUAUAAUUUAUGUUGAUUUAUAAUUUCAUAAUUUUGAUAGCAGGGUAAUAGACUUGUACUGAAGUUGGAGCCGACGGAAAAUGAGAUUCAUGUUGAAUGGUAGGUUGUUAGCUCGGCGUGGAUUGAUCGCCCUGGUUUUGUAACAUCCCAAUUUUUGAGACCAAAAAUUUUAUUUUUAAUUAUGUAACUCAUAAAACAGUUUACUUAAAAACAUCAUCGAUAUCAUGCCAAUCCAUAAACAAUAGUCACAAGUCUCAAAAAUCACACCAUCAAUAGUAAUAUGUCAGAGUACAAUCCCAUGGAUCUCAAAAUGCGGAAUCAUGUGUGUGUGUGCUGCGCUGCUACCGUGUCGUCUCCUUCCCCUUCGACGAAGAGGUACCUGAAACCAAAACUGAAAAUCGUAAGCUCAAAGCUUAGUGAGUUCCCCCAUCAUACCACAUACCACAUAAUGCCUAUUCCUCGGUAUCUUUUAACCGAUAACAGGGAAAUAACCUCCCCUUCGGUAUCUUUCAACCGGUAACCAAGAGCUAACCCCCCUUCGGUAUUUUUCAGCCGGUAACCAGGGACUAUUUUACCCCUAGCACUAUUACAUAAUAAUAUAUCAUGAUCGUACUGUUGGGCAUGCAUGGGUACUAUCUACCCCUUCAAUAUCUUUCAAUCGGUAACCGGAGACUAUUUCACCCCUACCACUACUAACACAUAUGACAUAGCAUCCUAGCACAUAAACAUAAUAGAUAUCGACAUACAAGACAAUAAUCACAAAGACAAUCAUCUUUACUACAAUCUCUUACUAACGGGUCGGCCUUGGUGCCUUAGACCCACUUCUAUCGGAAGGUAACUCACCUCGAUUUCAUAAAGCAUUUGAACUAUCCUGGCUGCCAGAAUCAACCCCUCUCAGGUCCUACACAUAUAAAUCUUCCUUAAUUACCAUUUCCAGAUCCACUCAGGUCAAAGUCAAGGUCAACAUCUUGGUCAAAGUCAACUCUAGGUCAAGGUCAACCUCCAGUUGACUCAACUUGCCGACUUGACCCCACAACUCGUUGAAUCCCGAAAUCAUGAAAACGCUAAGACUUCGGCCCUACUCGACGAGCCUUACAAGAUGUCACACCCCAAAACCAGAAUGGCGGAAAAGUUCUGGGGCAGAGGAUGCCGUGUACAGUAUAACAGCAAAGCAUAAUAGUAAACAAGUAACAACAUCAUCCAUUGCAUUAAUAAUAUAAUUUAGUACAAGUGUGUUCUGUAUAGUUAUAAGACACCAAAAAUAUAAAUCAAAAUAAAAGAUGAGGCUUCAACGUGCUCCAUCUUCUCAAAACCUAGCAUCGGUACCUGUCUACUGAUGACCUGAGAAUACAAGUUAUUUUGAAAGAGUUUAUCAGCCUUAAAGCUGGUGAGUUCAUAAGCAUUUUAGUGUCAUUGUUUGUACGAAAAUGUUUGUAAGUGUUUAAUGUAUAAGUUUGUAAAUGUUUGUAGUAAAUGUUUGUAUCUCCAAGAAAAUCCUAUAUUUUCUACUAAAAAGUAGCAUCUACCAAGGCAUCAAAUGUUAUGUAUGUUUGUUUCUUAUAAAAGAGUGUUUUUUCCCAAGUGUGACCAUCAUUAACUAAAUAUAGUUUUUACAUUACCGUUUAUGUAACAAGAUCACAAUGUGAAUGCAAUGGGAAAUAAUAAAGUAUUGUAGUGUUGUAUAUAGUAACUACUGCUAUACUAACAACCUUAAACCAAUUUUUAAUUAACGUAUAAUGUGAUAUGAUUAUAACCAUACUCGAUCGACUAGUAAACACGACGCUCGAAGACGUCAAAAUGGUAUGACAAUAUAUAAGUUUAAAAGAGUUAAAAGAAAAGGUUUGGCAUAUAAGAACAAGUUUGAUAAAGAGUUUAGUAUGUAAAAGAGUUUGAUAAACACUUUGAAGUAUUUUGAAAUCCAUCUAUUUGAUAACAGUUUGAAAGUAAUAGAAAUCUAUCAGUUUGUUCUAGUUAUUAAUCACAUGUGAUUGAUAUAAUAACUAGAAUGUUUCAACUUGUAUUCCCUCCCCCCCCCCAUAAAAGCAUUUAAAAUCAUUUAAAAGGUAAAUUAAGGGGUAUGAACUCACCUGUAGUGAGUAACUCGAAUGAAAGAUCGAUAUAGGAUUGUUGGGUGGCAAUUGAAGUCUUGAGCACCAAUGAAACCUAUUUAACAUAUAAUUACACAUAUGUGAAUACAUUUAAUGUAUAUAACCACUAAUGGUGACAGGGACACACCUUAGGGACAUAAAACACUUAGAAUUAAGUGUUACUAACACAUAUGGUUGCACAGAAGGGGUGUAUGUCCCUAUAUUGGAGUGUAGGGCCACAAAAUCAUGGGUUUUGUGUGUGUGCGGCCAAGUGUGUGUGUGGCCGCACACUCACUAUGAAGUGUGCCAAAAAUGUGUUUCCAAGCCUUAGGAAUGUUCUACGGAAAGCGUUUUGACCAUUGCUUAGCUUAAAUGGGAGUUUAAAACCAUUUUUGAGCCUAAAAAGAGUGUGUGCGGCCACACAUGGUGUGUGCAGCCGUACACACUUGAAGAUCAUAUGAAAUGGCGUUUUUCAUGCAUGAAUUCAAUGGUUCGUAGCUUAUAUCAAGCUAUUGCAAGUGUAUACCCGAUUUAGAGGCUUAAAAUUGUAGUUAAAGUCUAAAAAGUAGUGUGUGUUAUUGGUGUUCUUGGUGUUUUUGAAGAUCUAACACCAAAUAGGUGUUUUCAUGAAUCAAAUCAAGGGGAAAAGGCUAGUUAAAGCCUUGUAUUAACAAUUCAAGGAAGCAACACUUACUUGAUUUGAAGAUUUGAAGAGCAAAGAUGGUUGAUACUUGAGAGAAAUCGAGUUCUAGACUUGAAGAAGUGGAACAAGUGUUCAAAAAUGACCAAGGACCAUAUAUAUACGUGGGAGUGUGCAGUUGUAUUGAGUGUGCGACUGGGUGUGCGGCUGGGAUGGGUGUGUGGCUACACACUCGGGUGUGCGGCCGCACACAGCUUGUGUUGGUGUGUUUGGCUCAUUUGCAAGGUGUUACACUCACAAAUAUUCAUCCCAAGACCCAUACCUAGAUUAUACUAGGCUUAGAACACUCAAAUAGACCAUAAAUCGCAUUAAAAGAUAGCAAAACGAGUCUAACUUUGAUAGAUUUGAAUGUUUGUAGAAGCUUGAAAUUUCAAGUUGUCACAUCAUCCCCCCGUUAGAGAGAAUUUCAUCCCGAAAUUAGAGUUUAAGCAAUUUAAGUAGUUACAAACAACUAAGUAAAAAGAUGAGGAUAUUUCAGUUUCAUUUGAUCCUCGUGCUCCUAAGUGAAUUCGGGUCCUCACUUGGCAUUUCAGCAAACCUUCACUAUCGGGAUACGACUUUGCUUCGUUCGCUUGACCUCUCGGUCCAUGAUCUCUACAGGUUCUUCCAUGAAGUAGAGGCUCUCGUUGAUCUCGAUCUCAUUGAGCGGGAUUACAAGAGUCUCGUUGGAUUGGCACUUUUCCAAGUUCGAGACAUGGAAAGUAGAAUGUCUGUUACUAAGAUCGUGGAAUAGGUUGAGUUUGUAAGCUACAGGGCCGAAUCUGGAGAGAAUCUCGAAAGGCCCUAUGUAUCUUGGAUUGAGCUUCCCAUGCUUUCUGAAACGUAUCAAGCCCUUCCAAGGUGUGACUUUCAAAAGGACGCGGUCUCCCACCUGGAAUUCCAAAGGUUUCCUUCGCUUGUCUACGUAGCUUUUAUAUCGGUCUCUAGAGGCUUUCAAUCGUUCACGAAUCUGAACGAUCUUCUCUGUCAUUUCCCGAAUGAUCUCCGGACCUGUGAGAGUGCUGUCAGGAACUAUCCUUUAGCUAACUGUGUGUCACCCACCUCAGCCUAGCACAGAGGGGAUCUGCACUUUUGGCCAUAGAGGGCUUCGAAUGAAGCAGCCUUUAUGCUCAUGUGAUAACUAUUUUUGUAGGAAAACUCGAAAAGGGUUAAAUGAGUAUCCCAUGCCUUCCCAAAGUCGAUCACACAGGCUCAUAACAUAUCUUCCAAGGUUUGGAUAGUUCUCUCACUUUGUCUGUAAGUCUGUGGAUGGUAGGCUGUACUCAUGUCUAGCCUCGUUACUAGGGAACUUUGUAGCGACUGCCAGAACCUUGAAGUGAAUCUACUAUCGGAGAUAAUAGACAUAGGAACACCAUGCAGUCGUAUGAUCUCCCCAAUGUAUGUUCUUGUGAGCUUCUCCAUCUUGUCAGUUUCUUUGAUGGGCAGGAAGUGUGCGGACUAUUUUAACCUGUCUACGAUCACCCAAAUGGUAUCGAGACCACCUGUUGUCUUGGUCAACUUGGUUAUAAAGUCCAUGGUGAUCCGCUCCCACUUCCAUUCCGGUAUCUCCGGUUGUUGUAGUAAACCCGAGGGUUUCUGGUAUUCGACCUUGACCUUGGCGCAAGUAAGACAUUUACUCACGGAGGUAACAAUCUCUGCUUUCAUGUUAGGCCACCAAUAUAACUUUUUAAGAUCUAGAUACAUCUUAUCUGAACCUGGGUGGAUGGAAUAUCGAGUGUUGUGUGCUUCAGUCAUGACCAAGUCUUUGAAGCCACCGUGUUUCUAUGUCCAGAUCCGGUCCAUGAGAUAUAAGGCUCCACCACACUUGACUUCCAAGUUCUUAUCCAUCCCUCUUAGGGAUUCACACGCCACGUUUUCAGGUUUCAAGGCUCCGUGUUGAGCCUCUUUGAUUUGCGUGGACAGGUGCGAAUGGAUAGUCAUUGUCAAUGAUUUGACUCUUCGACCAAAAUAUUCAUUCCAAAUUAGGGCGUCUGCUACUACAUUGGCCUUGCCGGGAUGAUAAGUAAUUUCACAUUCGUAAUUAGUAAGUAGCUCGACCCACCGUCAUUGUCUCAUGUUGAGCUCCUUCUGGUCGAAUAUGUGUUGUAAGCUUUUGUGGUUUGUAAAGAUAGUGCUUUUCGUACCAUACAGAUAGUGUCUCCAGAUCUUCAGAGCAGUCACAACUGCUCCUAGCUCAAGAUCAUGUGUGGUGUAGUUGACCUCGUGUGUCUUUAGAUGUCUUGAGGCAUAGGCGAUGACCUUACCUCAUUGCAUCAGAACACAGCCGAGCCACUGGUUGGAUGCAUCGCAAUAAACUACGAAGUCUUCUAUCCCUUCGGGGAGGGAUAGUAUCGAUGCGGUGCAUAAUACUCGCUUCAGCAUGUGAAACGCUUUUUCUUGCUUCUCUUCCUAGUCAAAGGCCAUGCCCUUCUAGUUCGAUGUUGUAAGAGGUAUCACAAUUCGCGAGAAGUUCUGUAUGAAUCUGCGAUAGUAGCCAGCGAGGCCUAGAAAUUGACAAAUUUUUGUAGGCGUCUUCGGUGCUGACCAGUUCUCAAUAGCUUUAAUUUUGGAAGGGUCCACGUGGAUUCCUUCUUUGCUAACCACGUGACCUAAGAAUUCGACUCUUCGGAUCCAAAAUUUGCAUUUAGAGAACUUCGCGUAGAGCUUCUCUGAUCGUAGUGUUCCUAGAAUAUGGCGCAGAUGAUCACUAUGCUCCUCCUCACUUCGAGAGUAGAUAAGUAUGUCAUCGAUGAAGACGAUGGUGAACUGAUCCAAGUAAGGAAGGCAUACCUUAUUCAUGAAGUCCAUGAAUAUUGUCGGUGCAUUGGUCAAUCCGAAUGGCAUCACUACGAACUCGUAGUGUCCAUAAUGAGUUCAGAAGGCUGUCUUCGGAACAUCCUCCUCUAGCACUCGUAACUGGUGAUACCCGGAUCUCAAAUCAAUCUUUGAAAUGUAAUUCAGCCCUUGCAGUUGGUCGAAUAAAUUGUAUAUGUGAGGUAGAGGGUAACGAUUCUUGAUCGUAAGCUUGUUGAGCUCACUAUAGUCGAUGCACAUAUGGAACGAUCUGUCUUUCUUCUUCACGAAUAAGACCAGUGCUCCCCAUGGUGAGAAACUUGGUCUAAUAAAGCCAUUGUUGAGCAGUUCGUUAAGUUGACUAGAUAGUUCCUGCAUCUCAGUUGGUGCUAGACGAUAGGGCGAUUUGGCAACAGGGGUAGCCCCUGGAACUAAGUCGAUUCUGAACUCGACUUGUCGUUGUGGAGGUAAUCCUGGUAGUUCUUCUUGAAAGAUGUUGGGAAAGUCGUGUACUACUAGAAUGUUCUUUAGGUCUUUGGUCUCUUGGAUUGUAUCGAAAACAUGAGCAAGGAAUGUGUGAUAUUCCUUAUGCCAGUACUUCUGGGCUUGAAUACUCGAGAUGAUACGGAAGUUCGUGUCAGGUUUGUCAUUGUAGAUAAUAAGAGUUUUGCUAGAUGGAAGGUUAAGACGAACCGCUUUUUCAUAACACAUGAUGUCGGCGUGAUGAAGACUCAACCAAUCCAUGCCGAUUAUGACGUCGAAACUUUUAAUUGAGACCAGCAUGAGGUCGAUUGGAAAGGAAUGGUUAUCUAGAGUUAGAGUACAUCCUAUGAAUAUACUGCUAGUCCUCUCAGUCUUUACGUUAGCCAUUUCUACAGUGAAUGGUUCCUUAAGUGCGUGUGGUCGUUGUUUAAGUAAGUGAGCAGGUUUCUGAUUUACGAAACUCCUCUCCGCUCCACUAUCAAAUAGUAUGCAUGCAUAAGAUUUUUCAAGGAGAAACGUACCAGUGACCAUUGUAGGGUCGGCAACUGCUUCCUUUUGGCCUAUGGCCAAAACUCUUCCCACUCCACCGGCAUUCCCUGCCUUAGGGUAGUUCCUUUUGUAGUGGCCCACCUCACCACAUCCGUAGAAAGACUGGCCCACACCAGCGUCGGGGACCUGGGUGAUUGGCCUUGCCAGAGAUUUGCAAAAACGGGCAGUGUACCCCUUCAUGUUGCAGUUAGAGCACUGCAUUCCCCAGCACGGUUCGUUGUGGUGGAAGUUUCAUUUUUUGCACCUCGGUAAGUUUCCAGCGUACUGUUUUACCUGAGCACCAGCGGCAGGUGUUGUCGCAGCAUGAACCGCCACGACCUGCUGCUUUUUGGCAGCUUUUUGAUUCUUCUUGUCAUCCUAGAACUUCCGCUUGUUAUCAGCAGCCUUGGAGGGUUCUAAGAUGGCUAGGGUUGUUGCUAUUAAUGGGGUACGGACCCUAUGGUCAAUGAUCUGUUGUGCCAAUCGCUUGGCACUAUCGAAGGUAGCGAGGUUUGAAGUGAGUACAUUCCCCUGAAAUGGAGGCAUCAGCCCCCAAAUAUACCUUUCCACCUUCUUUGCUUCAGAAGGGACCAUUCCCGGACAUAGUGCUACCAGAUCGCUGAAUCUGGCAAUGUAGGAUACUAUGUCGGAGCCCUUCAUGGUUAGGCUCCAGAACUCCUACUCCAGCUUCUAAACUUCGUCCCUCAGGGAGUAUUCUUCGAUCAUAAGCUCCUUAAGAGCUUCCCAACCUAUAGCAUUUGCCACUACAAGCGAUAGUGACUUGACAUGGCUAUUCCACCAUAUCAGAGCUCAGUCCGCAAAGGUGCAGGCGGCAAAUUCUACUUUGCUACCUUCCGGACAAGAUCAGAUCUCAAAGAUCGAAUCCGUUUUCUUGAACCAUUGCGAGAGGGAAAUGAUUCCACCAGUCCCAUUGAAGGCCCUAGGUUUGCAGCUGGUGAAGUCUUUAUACGAGCACUCCCUAGAGCGCACUGGAGCUUUGACAACAGUGGGAGGCACAUAAGUUUCACUCCCACUAGUACUGGUCGAGGUGAAUUGUGNNNNNNNNNNNNNNNNNNNNNNNNNNNNNNNNNNNNNNNNNNNNNNNNNNNNNNNNNNNNNNNNNNNNNUAGGGAUGUCAACGGGACCAAACGGGAGCGGAAAUGGUUGCCCCCGCCCCCGCUCCCGAAAUCCCUUGUUGCCCCCGCUCCCGGUCCCGCCCCCGGAUCCCCCGCUUACACAGCCCCCGGUCCCGCCCCCGGUUACCUCCAUCGCCCCCGGUCCCGCCCCCGUUCCCCCGGUACUCCCGGUUUAUAGGCUUAAAAAUGGAUUUUUUUUGCUAAAAAAUUGCUUUGUUUUUGGCUAAAAAUAGUUUUUUUAAUAACUUUUGUAUAUAAACAAACAUGUAAGCCAUUGAUAAAUCAAGAAUUGAUCAAACAUAAAACAUCACUAAAGUUAUAAACACAUAUAUAUAUUUUUUAUAUAAAUAUAAACAGGGCCCCCGCGGGAGGACGGGACAGAAAUACUCACUCCCGCCCCCGGUUCCGAAAAUAAACGGGAGUUAAUAUCGCCCCCGCCCCCGCUCCCGCUCCCGAAUUUUUUAAAAAAUUAGUCCCGUACGGUAUCGGGGUCCCACGGGGGGUUUUGACAUCCCUACGCCAGAUUAUAUUACGGAGGAGGUGGUGUUGUUGAAGUUACCGGAGGAUCACGUCUCAUUGAUCAGCGCGGAGGCAUCUUUUAACUAAAAGUUUACAAAGAUGAACAUGAUAGUAAGAAUCAACUGUAAGUAUAUUGAUAGUGAUCAAUGGGCAAAAUCGCCAUAGUCCAACAGUUGAAUGAGUGUGUGUUUGAAAUAGAGACACAAUAGUAGAGUAGGAAAACACAAGAGCAAAGAUUUUCCAACAGAUAGAUAACUGUCAAUAUUACUAGUAUUAUUGAUGUAGCAAGUUCGGGAAAAUAACCUAACAGUAGGUCUUACAUCAAACCAUAAGGGAAAACGUUAACAACUUAGAAGUCUAGUUAUAGUGUUUGAAAGAUAGGAAUAUUUUACAGAAAAGUGCUUCCUAGAGCAUAGAUAAUAAAGGUUAUUUCUUAAACCAAAAGAAAAGAUGAGUCAGACAUAUUCUACCGGUGACGGGUACUCCUUGGGCGAACCCUUAGAUCUGCCAGUUGACGAACUAUGUCCUGAAGAUGUCGCUCAUGAGCUCUCUGACGCACUCGAAGUUCUAUGGCUUCAGUUCGGGAUGCAGCUAGUUCUUGCUGCAGAGCCGUAUUGGCUUUCCUAUUCCUUUCCAUAGCUUCUUCGAGAUGGAUAAUGCGGACCGUGUUAACGCCCAAAUUGGCGUCUAUUUCCAUGACUCGAUCGAUAGCUGCCCGACCUUGCUCAACAUUCCAAGAAAUCCUGCGGACCAUGAUGGGCAAGACUCAGUCAGCUGAGCCUCCCUCGCUUACAUUGUAGAAGCUUUGGUCUUUAUUGAAGGGUAAAAGUUGACCCUGUUCAUGGCUCCAUUGGUUCAAGUUUGUCGCCUACAAGGGUGUGCAGCCUUGAAAUGCUAGUCGGGGGUUGAGGUUUGCGAUUAGAGCCUCUUGAGGUAGGUUGUUGACUUCUGGUUCGGAGUCAGAACCAUCCGAAAAUCCUUCUGCAAGGUGAUCAUCCAAAGGGAUUGGAUGAUCCUCUUCUGGAUCUGCUUCGAGCCAUCCGGCAUUGCCUUGAUUUGGGAAGUACGGGUCGUCGUGUGGAUGGAGUCCAGCCAUGAUAUCUACGCGAGAAAAGAGGAAUAAGAAUCUUAUAUAUAUAAAUAGAUGUACUACCUAAGAUAAUUAUAAGAUGAUCAUUACCAGUUACUUCAAUACUUGCAUAGUGCAUACCAGUUAUAUGAAAUCCAAAACAGGAUAGACCUUCGAAUAAAUGACCCUAACUCCAAAUCCACAACCAAACAAGGAACAGGAAGAAAAGCAAAGGUCACAGAUUCUGAGUCUAUGACACCUUAGUCACAUAUAUACCUUAGCGUAUCCACUUAGCAACUAUUGACUUACUAGUAAAGACCUUUUUAGUUCCCAAAUAAGUAAUUAUAGUAACAUGAAAUACUCUUAUAGUAUUUUAGGUUUAUGUUCUAUUCUAAUGUUCUCAUUGUAGUAGUGUUGGUAAGUUUUUAGACUUGUUGCAACCUCACAACCAUCCUUGGUCACAUGCUAAUCACCUCGAACCAACAUAGUUGAUCAUGCUAUGUCAUUCCCAAAACUGACCAUACAUCCCCGAGUCAACUUGUGAUGUUCAACAAUCGUAAUACUUUUAAUCUGUCCUAGUGACACUGAUUUUAGUAUGAAUGCAGGUAUGUAUACUUAGUUAAAUAUUUUAUUAUUUAAAAGUAUAAACUCUUGGUCAGAGUAUUUUAAUCCCGUUGUGUUUAUAGUUUGUAUAUCUUUUAUGGCUUGAUAUACUCUAUUAACUAUAAAUAAUGCUCUGAUACCAAGACUUUGGCCCUACUCGCCGAGUUGGCCCCACAACUCGUCGAGUCCCGAAAUCAUGAAAACGCCAAGACUUUAGCCCUACUCGCCGAGCCUUACAAGAUGCUACACCCAAAAACCAGAACGGAAGAAACGUUUUUUGGCGGAGGACGUCAUGUACAGUAUCACAACACAUCAUAAUCGUAAACAAGUAACAACAUCAUCCAUUGCAUGAAUAAUAUAAUUUAAUACAAGUGUGUUCUGUAUAGUUAUAAGACACCAAAAAUAUAAAUCAAAAUAAGAGAUGAGUCUUGAACAUGCUCCAUCUUCUCAAAACCUGGCAUCGGUACCUGUCUACUGAUGACCUGAGAAUACAAGUUAUUUUGAAAGAGUUUAUCAGCUUUAAAGCUGGUGAGUUCAUAAGCAUUUUAGUGUCAUUGGUUGUACGAGAAUGUUUGUAAGUGUUUAAUGUAUAAGUUUGUAAAUGUUUGUAGUAAAUGCUUGUAUCUCCUAGAAAAUCCUAUAUUUUCUACUAAAAUGUAGCCUUCUACCAACGCAUCAAAUGUUCUGUAUGUUUGUUUCUUGUAAAAGUGUGUAUUUUUCCCAACUAUGACCAUCAUUAACUAAAUAUAGUUUUUACAUUACCGUUUAUGUGAGAAGAUCACAAUGUGAAUGCAAUGGGAAAUAAUAAAGUAUUGUAGUGUUGUAUAUAGUAACUACUGAUGUACUAUCAACCUUAAACCAAUUGUUAAUUAAGGUAUAAUGUGAUAUGAUUGUAACCAUAUUCGAUCGACUAGUAAACACGACGCUCAAAGACGUCGAAAUGGUAUGACAAUAUAUAAGUUUAAAAGAGUUAAAAGAAAAGGUUUAGCAUAUAAGAACAAGUUUGAUAAAGAGUUUAGUAUGUAAAAGAGUUUGAUAAACAUUUUGAAGUAUUUUGAAAUCCAUCUAUUUGAUAACAGUUUGAAAGUAAUAGAAAUCUAUCAGUUUGUUCUAGUUAUUAAUCACAUGCAAUUGAUAUAAUAACUAGAAUGUUUCAACUUGUAUUCCCUCCCCCCCCCAUAAAAGCAUUUAAAAUCAUUUAAAUGGUAAAUUAAGGGGUAUGAACUCACCUGUAGUGAGUAACUCGAAUGAAAGAUCGAUAUAGGAUUGUUGGGUGGCAAUUGAAGUCUUGAGCACCAAUGAAUCCUAUUUAACAUAUAAUUACACAUAUGUGAAUACAUUUAAUGUAUAUAACCACUAAUCGUGAUAGGGACACACCUUAGGGACAUAAAACACUAAGAAUUAAGUGUUACUAACACAUAUGGUUGCACAUAAGGGGUGUAUGGCCCUAUAUUGGAGUGUAAGGCCACAAAAUCAUGGGUUUUGUGUGUGUGCGGCCAAGUGUGUGUGCGGCCGCACACUCACUAUGAAGUGUGCCAAAAAUGUGUCCAAGCCUUAGGUAUGUUCUAGGGAAGGCGGUUUGACCAUUUCUUAUCUUAAAUGGGACUUGAAAACCAUGUUUGAGCCUAAAAAGAGUGUGUGCGGCCACACAUGGUGUGUGCGGUCAUACACACUUGAAGAUCAUAUGAAAUGGUGUUUUUCAUGAAUAAAUUCAAGGGUUCUUAGCUUAUAUCAAGUUAUUCCAAGUGUAUACCCGAUUUCGAGGCUUAAAAGUGUAGUUAAAGUCCAAAAAGUAGUGUGUGUUCUUGGUGUUCUUGGUAUUUUUGAAGAUCUAACACCAAAUAGUUGUUUUCAUGGAUCAAAUCAAGGGGAAAGGCUAGUUAAAGCCUUGUAUUAAUGAUUCAAGGAAGCAACACUUACUUGAUUUGAAGAUUUGAAGAGAAAAAGAUGGUUGAUACUUGAGAGAAAACGAGUUCUAGACUUGACGAAGUGGAAAAAGUGCUCAAAAUGACCAAGGACCAUAUAUAUACGUGGGAGUGUGUGGUUGUAUUGAGUGUGCGGCUGGGAUGGGUGUGUGGCCGCACACACCUUGUGUCGGUGUGUUUGGCUCAUUUGCAAGGUGUUACACUCACAAAUACUCAUCCCAAGACCCAUACUUAGAUUAUACUAGGCUUAGAACACUCAAAUAGACCAUAAACCGUGCUAAAAUAUAGCAAAACGAGUCUAACUUUGAUAGAUUUGAAUGUUUGUACAAGCUAGAAAUUUCGAGUUGUCACACAAGAGCUUGAUGAGUUCUCCUUUAAACCAAUUUCGGACCUUCUACAACUGAUUCGCCGAGUUCAUCAUCAUCCAACUUAAGGUGUUUCAUCCAUGACUCGUUGAGUUCAUCCUUGAGCUUGUCGAUUCCAUAUUCAUAUGGUUGGGAUAUUGCCCUGGACUUGCCGAGUUCUAUUCUUGAACUCGCCGAGUUAUAUGAUUUCUAGGUCCAGUUUCACAUCUUAUCUUGUUGAUUCCACUUCUAGACUUAACUAAAUCGAUCAAAGCAGAAAAGGGUUGCGGAAUGUAAAUCCCCAAAAUUGCUUGUGUAUCAAUCAGAUCUAAUUGAUGGUGCGGAAUCCCAAUCAAUUGGAUGACGUCAGAUCAAUAUAGAAGAGAAGGAGAAGACGAAGAUGAUGAAUCUAAUGAUGUAUUCAAUAUGAAUGAUGCUCCUUACAAUAGAUUCUCUCUCACGCACACUUCUUCCCUCUAACUUUCUCUCUCUUUUCUAGCCUACUUCUCUUCUUAACCAUACACUCCCACAUGCACUCCUCUAUUUAUAUGGACCUCCAGCCAUACACAUGUGUACAACCGCACACCCUGUGUACGGCCGUACACAAGGUGUGCGGCCGUACACACAAAGCGCAAACACAUACAAUAUUACAUAAAAAUAUAUUUUCGUAGAAAAGCAAAGUAUAAACCAUAUUUUAGACCCAACAAUCUCCCCCUUGGUUUAUAUAUUUCUUUUCUAAAUGACCCAAGAACCUCCUCCUAAAAAAUAGCUGGCUUUUCUUGUCAAUCUUCAAUGGGAGCUUUGGCUUCAGUUUUAAUCUUUGAUUUCUUCACAGCUUCAAGAUGAACUUGAUGANACAAGGUCAGAGUUCGACAGAAGCUUUUGAGAGCUACGAUUGCCAGUUGGUUCCUGAAGUCAUACGCAAUAAUAGUUUUAGACUUAUCCAAGUGGGAGACUGUUGGAUUAAUGUCUAAGUCCAUAACUAUAUUUGGUAAGACUUGACCCGACCCGGCAUGGUCCAUUUGGGUUGCAUACCAUCAUGCACUUGAUUGAGAGAAAUAAGACACUUAUGGUUAUUAAUAUAUUAUAAGUUCUAGUAUAUUAAUAAUAAGAAUAAUAAGAUUAUUUAAUUAGUAUUGAUCAAGAAUUAAUCUAGGAUUAAUUAAGUGAUCAAAAGAAGACUAAUUAAAUAUAUGGGUUGAUUGUGUAAAUCAUCCAUACUUGUAUAGUGGGCUAAUGCUCCAUGGAUAAUCAAGUUGGGCUAAAACCCAUAGGAUGGUCCAUGGAUGCUCCAUGGUGUAUUUGUACCCAUGGAUCCAAGGAAAUGGAAAGCCAUGACAAUUAAGAGUUUACCCUAAUUGUGUAACUAUAUAAGCAUCUUAUUAUUGAGGAAAAAUCGGCCACUAGAGAUAGUGAAGAAAGGGCUAGCCGAUUUUGAUGAGUGUAGAAUUCUCUCAAGUCAUUCUAAGUGUUUUGAUGAUUGUGAUUCCAUUUGAGGUGUCACACUUGGGGCACUAGGCACUCAAGCUUCAUGAAGACUUUCUACACCAAAGAGGUAUGUAUUCUAUCUUGCUAUAGUUAUUGUUUUGUAUGCUAGAUUAGGAUAAUACCUUGGAAGUUCUUAUUUGCAUGUAUAAUAGAGAAAACAUAGAUCCAAGGUAUUUAGGGUUGCAUGUACACUUAGGAAGUGUUAGAAUGCUCAAAACCCAACAGUGGUAUCAGAGCCACGGGUUGUUUUCUGUUAUAUUGAUGCAAAUAUUUUAUUUUCAAAGUUGAAAAAAAAAAAAAAAAAAAACAUGAAGUUUGUCAAAUUUUAAGAUAAUUACUUGUUCUUGUGAAAAACUAAUUAUUUGUAAAAUUUGAAUAAUUUGCUUUAUGAGUUGAAUUAGGUCAAAUUUAAUAAAAGAUAAAAUAAUAUGAUUAUUUUAUUAGUUUUAAAAGUUUGAUCUAAAGAGUUUUAUUUUUUGAAACCUCCAUAAGUUAUGGAUAUGAAAAGGUUUUAAAAAAAAAAUUGAUUCAAAGUUUUUUUGGAGUUACAAAAUUUGGUGUUAAUGUUUUAAAGGAUUCCAUAACUUAAGAAUAAGUUAUGGAUCACCAAAAGUUUUUUGUGUUACCUUGUUUUAUGAGUGAAUUUAGAUUAAUGAAUAAAAUUAUGUGAUAGUUGGUUUUAAUCCAAAUUAAUCUAAGAAUUGAUUCUAAAAUGUGUUUUUGUAACUUGUCCUCAAGUUAUAUGAAAAGUCACAUUUAAGAAUCAUAAAACUCAUAAAAAUUGGCAAAGGUUACAAAAAUGAAGAGUCUAGUUCUAAUUAAAUGGUUUUAUGACUCCAUAACUUGUCCUCAAGUUAUGGAGGACCAAGAGUCUCUUCAUUUAAUAAAAUAAAAUAAAAAAAAAAAAAGUGUAACCUUAAUUAAUUCCAUAAGUUAUAAAAUAAAGAAAAGUUAAUUCUUUUAUUAGUUUAAAGUCUUCCAUAACUUGUCCUCAAGUUAUGGAACUUGAAGAGUUUUUGGAUUAAAACUACUUUAAACACAUAAGUUAUGGAAUUAAUUAGUUUUGAAUAGUUUCAAAACUUGCCCUCAAGUUUUGGAAUUUGUAAAGUUUUCACUUAUGAAUACUUUAAUUCCAAGUUAGCCCUUAGAAUUUUAAAAGUUAAAAUUCAACCCUUAUACUUUAUAAUAUUAUAAGUUAAUAAUAUAUAUAUGUAUAAGAGUAAAGUCAGUCUUACCGCUAGUACGCCUCAUUCACGAAGCCGGUCUAUAAGGUGGGUAUAAGGUUGUUGCCUAUAAAAUGGCAACUUAAUGGGUGUCCACUCUCACCCACCGCUUGCUUGACUGGUGGAGGGUCGUUAGCCGAACGGGUUUGACAGGACUAGAAUUCUCCCUUCAUUAAAAGUAUUAAUGAUAAUACUAAGUAACUAAACUCUUAAUAAUACCCAAUCUUAGUUACUUAGGAAAAAUGUGAAUAAGGUGCUAAUCCAUGAAAUUACACUUUACACUUUGUCUAAGUCGUUAGUGGAGCGUGUGUGGUUAACCGGCACACUAACUUGGACUUAACAAGGUAGGUAAAGGGUGACUUAAUAUUUAUCAUAGUAUCGAUGGAGCGUGUGUGGUUAACCGGCACAUCGAUUGAGGGGUAAUUUAUUAAGGGUACCAAGUGAUUUGCAUGGUUACUUCACACCUUGUUUUGUGAUCCUCGGCAUCCCAGUCACAAAACCUGAAGGGCACACUCGAGAUUGAAACAUGCCUUUGAACAGUUCAAUGAAUCUCAAAGAUCUAGGAGUUUCAAAACCAAUUAAAACCUAAUAAUACAUUUCGUUUAUCUUGGUGGAAAUUGGUGAAUCGUCAUUCACCUACCUUCAAAUAUUUUAUAGCUUGGAUUACGGCAUACCUCUUCUAAGUUAUAAAAUAGUUUGUUGGGUCCUAGCCUUAAUAUUUCAUAUUGGGUGUCAUAUUAAGGACUUUAAAUCAACUAUCUUGAAUAUCUCCCAAAAGAUGUCUGGUUUAGACACCUAUGAUCUUCCCAAAUCUCUUGAAACAAGGUUUCCUAAUGAAGAUGAUGUCCCAUGGAUAUCAUACUUCUUUCUCCUCCUCCAAUUAUUCUCCCUAACCCACAAGUUCUUGAAAAGUUUAAGGUCACUCAAGCCCUAUUGGCAAGGCAAGGUCUAGGUGUGAUCACAUCUUGGAGAUGUAGUCACAUAUUGACAAGCCGGGAGAGUUGGGUGUCAAAGUCUUGAGAAAGUUGGUGGUUCAAUCACUUUCUAAGUCACAUAGUGAGUUCCUUUGGGACACCUAUGAAACAGACUAUGACAAGACCCUUAAUGAUCUUAUCUAUUUGCUAAGAUCAACUUCCUAAAACUUUAUGGACAUUGACAAUGAUGACAUUGGAUAUCCAGUAAAGCAUUCUCUUCCCAAUGGAAAGGGAUCGGCCAUAGUCAACUCGGUUGACCAAAUGGUAAAGAGAAAAGCUAAGUCUGUGAUAGUCUCGUGUACCAUUAUCAAAGGGUCCAUAUGUUUAUAUUGCCAAAGGAAGGGGCAUUGGUUGCGAAGCUGCCAAAUUUACCUAAGGAUGUUAAAGUCAAUAAGUUUGACUCUACUUCAGGUAAAGUCCACUAUCUAACUCUGUUAAGUUUCUAUUCUGAGAUUCCUGAUACAUGAUGUGACUGGGUCACAUGGUGAUGUUUUAAGAAUCAAAGAAAAGUGAAGAAACUUAAAGAAAGAAUAUGCUGAAUCUGAUGGCGUAGAUGGAUUUCUAUCGCAUAGUUUGAAGAUCGGAUUCUUGAGCAACUUCUUAGGAGUUAUGAGAUAUUGCUUAGGAAUAGAUAACAACAAGUUUUCAUAUGGAUUGUAAGGAUAAGUUUUUCCGCAAAGUUUUAAAAUAAAAGAAAAUUUUUUUGAUUUUAUUUAUUUUAAAAUAUCCUUACAAUGGCUUUUGAGGAAAAAUUGUUGCUUAUAUGAUUCCAUUAAGAGCAAGAGUGGAAAUAUGAAAUUGAUUCUUUCAUUUGUGGUAAUGUCUAGAUUUACCAAAUAAGGAAAGAUUCUCAUCACCCAAGUUUCAAUUGGACCGGAACUUGGAAUCAUGCAAGUUGUAUAGCAUGAUGAAUGAGAACUUUCAAGUUUUGGAAAAUUAAGACUAAUUACUCGGCCACAUGGAUGUGUGAGUCAAGUAAAGGACUAAGGGAUCGAGUACACAUUCUUGUGCACUGAUUAAGUCCACCACAAAAGAUUGAUAAGACUAUUCGUCAUAGUUUACUAAAGCUCAGUAAAUAUGAUUAUACUUACAAGCUUAAGUGUAACUCUGAGACAUUGGAAAAGGUUCCAAUGUAUGGCAGAGCGAAUAAGAAGAAUCAAAUUAGGCAGAAGGAUAAAAGUUUCUCAAAUCUGAAAAGAUGGGAGAGUACUUUAGUAUCAGUUUUGUGAUCAUCUUAAUGAUUAAGAAACCAUAUCAAAAUUAGUUCUCUAAGGAAAUCUUAGUGCAUUCUUAUGACUAAGAAGAGGAACUUGAAUUGUUGAAAUGGUUAAAUCAAGAAGAUGAGUCAUACUUCGUUCCAAUACAAGUCUUAGAGUCAUACUCCAAGAUUGUCAUUUGAGUGACAUGUCUUAAAGAAGGUUUAAAACACUUGUCAAAUGUAAGAGUAAAAGUUUUCUACUCUUGUACAUUUGAAAUUGGUAAGUUGUGAUGUUUUGGAUAAAACAAAGACCAACUUAGGCCAAUUGGGUAAAGUGUUUUUCUUGAUUAGAAUCCGCACUAUCUCUUGGAUGUUUGACAAGGGAGUCUUAUAUGUCAAGAGGACAGUGGGAGUCUUAAAGGUCUUGAAAGUCUCAAGAACUAAUCAAGAAUAAAACCUGAAGUUCUUCACUAGCACACGACUUGAGGUUCAUAACCUAUCGUGUUGACAUAUUCUGUGCCCAUUCCAGUUAAAGUUGGCUUUGCAUAUGAGUUCUUAGAGUUCUCAAUUUGUUGCACAACAACUUGGAAGCAAUGGUAGGCCCUUGAGCUGCCAGGUGGCAAGAAAUUAAGAUUGAGUUCAGUCCAUAUGAGUUUGGAUUUGUCAUUAUCCUUGUCUUGUGACUAUGGUUUUGACAAUUCACAUGGAUAAGAACACAUACACCAUUAAAUCUAAGUGUCAUAAGGUUUCUCUCCGAUUCAUGAAAAUGAUGGUGAGGAAACACUUUCACUAAGUAGAUUUUAGCUAGAUAGCAAUUGUGAUAUUUGCAUUCUCAAAGUCGUUAGUGGAGCGCGUGUGGUUAACCGGCACACUAAUUUGGACUUGUGAGAAGUGGCAAAAAGGUCUAAACAUUAUGAUUACGGCAUCCCUCUUCAUAAUUGUUUAGAUACACAAGUGUGCUAUCUAAGGGAAGGUGUAUGAUUUUGAUAAAGUUUUAUCAAAACAAUCUAGCAUCAGAAAUCUGAACUUUGGUAAGAAAGUCAAUGAAGUAUUGAUUUCUAGAAGUCCAGCUGAUUUCUGAGUACAUGUCAAAGCUAGUGGGAGCAUAAGUGUUAUGCUAAUAAUCAUCAUGUUAGUGGGAGCAUGAUAAUUAUGAUAAGUAUUGCAAGUUAGCAAUGUUAAUUAUAGAAAACAAAAGUUUCAAUUGGGAAAAAGUUGUUUUGCUAUAAUUAAGGGAGAGGAAAUUAUACUUCAUCUCAAAUCUAUAAGCUUAGAUCGUGAGGUUUUAAUCAUUUAGUCAAGGAUAUAUAUGAAUUUCAUGUUGGAAUGGCUCAACAUAAGGAAAUUCUGUAUAUGGGUCCAUUAUUUGCGUUCUAAAAUUCGAUUAUGAUUACGGCAUCCCUUUUCAUAAUCUGAAUUAUGAGAACUUGGCAAAUUGAAAUGGAAAUAUUAUAGCAAAAGACUGGUUUAGUCUUUAUGUAAGACAUCAUGAAUCGUGUCCCAUAUGCUUCGGAUAUAGGAUCGAUUACAUGUGCUAUAUUCAUCCGUUCUAAAAUUUUCCAAAUGCCUGGGGCAUUAAGAAGGGAAAAGGUUUAGAACUGGAUAUGACUAAAAGGAUUAAACAAUUGUCGAGGACAAUCUAAGGUUUACCAAAGAUUGGUUGCUCAAGGACAGUUGGAAGUAUAGUGAUAAUUCUGGAAGGACCAUAUUGACAUAAUCUGUAAGGAGGCAACUCUUGUUCAGAAGUGAUAGUCAAAAUGGAAUCUGGAAAUGUUUCAAAGUUAGAAUUUUCAAUCUGUUUAAGAUUAGGAAACUUAAUGCAAGAAGGAUGUUUCCAAGGAGCUGAUCUCCUUUGGAAUACUCUGUAAUGAUUGUUGUCAAGUCUUUCUGACUUUGUGCAUAAUCAUUACAAGAGGAUCAAUGCAUAUAAGUUUAGAAUCUAACAGAUUUCAGUAAAUGGCAUGAAUUUGGAAUUCUUGCAUUUGCAGUAAGGAUUUGGGAGUGUGAAAAGAGAAUCAUUGAAGUUAUGUUCAAUUGAUCUAGUUCACAAAGUAAAGAUCAUAGACAAACAUAGUAUGCAUACUUGGUGUGUGGCAUGACUAGUGUUUAAGAAAACAUAGUGUACAUGCUUGGAGCAUGGGACAACUAUUGUUUUAAAUUCAAGAAUAAAGUUGAUAGCUGAAACAGUAUACAAUGAAUAAUGUGUAAUCAUAUGGUGAUAAAUAAAAGGUGUUUUAUUUAUGUUCAAAGGGUUGAUACCAUAUUGGAUUCAAUUAUUAUUGUGUUUCACUUUGCAUGUUUUGACUUCCCGAAUAAACUGGGUUAUUCUUCCGGAAUGACUAAGUUAUUCAAACCAUCCACAGUCGGUCAUAUGUUGGAAGUAGAUAUGAAUUAAGACUGUCAUGAUGGGUUGUAGAGGUCUAAGGUGUUGGACAAGGCUACAACAAUCAUGAGUGCUCAUAAGUUCUGAGUAUUGGAUUCAACCCGCGCUCAUUGGAAUCACUUCAUGGAUUUUAUCACGAGUGAUCAUGAGACGAUAAUAUCUUAUAUUCUUCAAACCUAGAGAUAUGAGUUGUUACUAUGAGUUGAUAGUACAUUGAUAGCACGAAAACGCAUUUGGUAACUCGGUGCUAUAAAACGUGCCUUUGUGUAUGAUUCAACAAGUAGUAGAACAAGCCAUAUGAGUCGAAGUUUAUCCGUUCCUUUUACCUUCGGGAUAAAAGCGAUAUCUGUGGGCCCCUCGAUGAUUUGAUGAUGACAAAUGGAAGUGCUCGGCCGGGCCAGGACUGAUUUGAUUUGUUCAAUUAGUCAGUCGUCAUAAAUCGGAAAUCGGGAAACAACAAAUGGACAGAGAGAAUGAUUAUAAUCCAUGUCUCAGUCCAUAUGAUAUCUAGAAUGGAGGAAUAUAUGAUCCCUUAUCUAAUGGACAAGUCACUGACAAAGGUCAGAGUUCAUCUACAAGGUCAGAGUUCGACAGAAGCUUUUGAGAGCUACGAUUGCCGGUUGGUUCCUGAAGUCAUACGCAAUAAUAGUUUUAGACUUAUCCAAGUGGGAGACUGUUGGAUUAAUGUCUAAGUCCAUAACUAUAUUUGGUAAGACUUGACCCGACCCGGCAUGGUCCAUUUGGGUUGCAUACCAUCAUGCACUUGAAUGAGAGAAAUAAGAC